UUUUUUUUCGUCCGGAGUCUCAUCCCGACUUGUGGGGGAAUCAUAGACUCCAUCAUCCUUUCCUUACUUGGGACAAUGCUCUAAAAAUGAUGAUCAUCACACUUUUAUUUACUUACAACUCAACAAUUACAACUCGAUACUUAGAACAAAAUAUGACUCUAUGUGAAUGCCUCCGGCGGUAUACCGGGGUAUGCAAUGAAUCAAGAGUGACAUGUAUGAAAGAAUUAUGAAUGGUGGCUUUGCCACAAAUACAAUGUCAACUACAUGAUCAUGCAAAGCAAAAUGACAAUGAUGGAGCGUGUCAUAGUAAACGGAAUGAUGGAAAGUUGCAUGGCAAAAUAUCUUGGAAUGGCGAUGGAAAUGCCAUGAUAGGUAGGUAUGGUGGCUGUUUUGAGGAAGGUAUAUGGUGGGUGUAUGAUACCGGCGAAAGGUGUGCGGUAUUAGAGAGCAACGGUGGAAGGAAGAAGAAAAGUGCGUAUGAUCCAUGGACUCAACCUUAGUCAUAAAGAACUCAUAUACUUAUUGCAAAAAUUUAAAAGUUAUCAAAGCAAAGUAUUACGCACAUGCUCCUAGGGGGAUAGAUUGGUAGGAAAAGACCAUCGCUCGUCCCCGACCGCCACUCAUAAGGAAGACAAUUAAUAAAUAAAUCAUGCUUCGACUUCAUCACAUAAUGGUUCACCAUACGUGCAUGCUACGGGAAUCACAAACUUUAACACAAGUAUUUCUCAAAAUCACAACUACUCGACUAGGAUGACUCUAAUAUUACCAUCUCCAUAUCUCAAAACAAUUGUCAAGUAUCAAACUUCUCAUAGUAUUCAACACACUCAUAAGAAAUUUUUAUUAAUCUUGAAUGCCUAACAUAAUUAAAGAAAAUUACCAUGUUGUUUUGUAGGACUCUCAAAAUAAUCUAACUGAAGCAUGAGAGAACAAUAGUUUCUAUAAAACAAAUCCACCGACGUGCUCUAAAAGAUAUAAGUGAAGCACUAGAACAAAAACUAUAUAACUCAAAAGAUAUAAGUGAAGCACAUAGAGUAUUCUAACAAUUUCCGAAUCAUGUGUGUCUCUCUCAAAAGGUGUGUACAGCAAGGAUGAUUGUGGAAAUCUAACAAAUAGAGACUCAAAUAAUACAAGACGCUCCAAGCAAAACACAUAUCAUGUGGUAAAUAAAAAUAUAGCUCCAAGUAAAGUUAGCGAUGGAAGUGGACGAAAGAGGGGAUGCCUUACAGGGUAUCCCCAAGCUUUGGCUUUUAGGUGUCCUUAGAUUAUCUUGGGGUGACAUUGACAUCCCCAAGCUUAGGAUAUUUCCACUCCUUGUUCCGUAAUCCAUCAAAUCUUUUACCCAAAACUUGAAAACUUCACAACACAAAACUUAAAGUAGAAAAUCUCAUGAGCUCCGUUAGCGAAAGAAAACAAAACACCACUUCAAGGUAAUGUAAUUAACUCAUUAUUUAUUUAUAUUUUUGUUAAACCUAUUGUAUUCCAACUUCUCUAUGGUUUAUAAACUAUUUUACUAGCCAUAGAUUCAUCAAAAUAAGCAAACAACACACGAAAAAACAGAAUCUGUCAGAAACAGAAUAGUCUGUAGUAAUAUGUAGCUAACGCAAGAUCUGUAGCCCCAAAAAUUCUAAAAUAAAUUGCUAGACGUGAGGAAUUUAUCUAUUAAUCAUCUGCAAAAAUAAUUAACUAAAUAUCACUUGCCAAAUAAAAAUGGCAGCAAUUCUCGUGAGAGCUAAAGUUUCUGUUUUUUACAGCAAGAUUAAAAAGACUUUCCCCAAGUCUUCCCAACGGUUCUACUUGGCACAAACACUAAUUAAACACAAAAACACAAAAAAACAGAGGGUAGAUAAAUUAUUUAUUACUAAACAUGAGCAAAAAGCAAGGAAUAAAAAUAAAAUUGGGUUGCCUCCCAACAAGCGCUAUCGUUUAACGCCCCUAGCUAGGCAUAAAAGCAAGGAUAGAUCUAGGUAUUGCCAUCUUUGGUAGGCAAUCCAUAAGUGGCUCUCAUAAUAGAUUCAUAAGGUAAUUUAAUUUUCUUUCUAGGGAAGUGUUCCAUGCCUUUCCUUAAUGUAAAUUGGAAUCUAAUAUUCCCUUCCUUCAUAUCAAUAAUUGCACCAACCGUUCUAAGGAAAGGUCUACCAAGAAUAAUAGGACAUGAAGGAUUGCAAUCUAUGUCAAGAACAAUAAAAUCUACGGGCACAUAAUUCCUAUUUGCAACAAUAAGAACAUCAUUAAUUCUUCCCAUAGGUUUCUUAAUAGUGGAAUCCACAAGGUGCAAGUUUAAAGAGCAAUCAUCAAAAUCACGGAAUCCUAGCAAAUCACACAAAGUCUUUGGAAUCGUGGAAACACUAGCACCCAAAUCACACAAAGCAUAGCAUUCAUGAUCUUUAAUUUUAACUUUAAUAGUAGGUUACCACUCAUCAUAAAGUUUUCUAGGGAUAGAAACUUCCAACUCAAGUUUUUCUUCAUAAGAUUGCAUCAAAGCAUCAACGAUAUGUUUAGUAAAAGCUUUAUUUUGACUAUAAGCAUGGGGAGAAUUUAGCACGGAUUGCAACAAGGAAAUAGAAUCUAUCAAUGAGAAAUUAUCAUAAUUAAAUUCCUUGAAAUCCAAAAUACUGGGUUCAUUAACAUUUAAAGUUUUGACUUCUUUAAUCCCACUUUUAACAAUUUUAGCAUCAAGAUCUAAAGACUCCGAAUUUUUGGAACGCCGUCUAGGUAAAGGUGGAUCAUAUUCAGUCCCAUAAUUAUCAAGAUUCAUAUUGCAAAACAAAGAUUUAAUAGGGGACACAUCAAUAACUUUUAGAUCUUCAUCUUUAUUAUCAUGGAAACUAGAAGAACACGCUUUUGUAAAGCAAUCUUUCUUAGCACGCAUCCUAGCGGUUCUUUCUUUGCACUCAUCAAUGGAAAUUCUCAUGGAUUUGAGAGACUCAUUGAUAUCAUGCUUAGGUGGAAUAGAUCUAAGUUUCAAAGAAUCAACAUCAAGAGAAAUUCUAUCAACGUUCCUAGCCAACUCAUCAAUCUUAAGCAUUUUUUCUUCAAUCAAAGCAUUGAAAUUCUUUUGCGAAGUAAUAAAUUAUUUAAUAUUAGAUUCAUAAUCAGAGGGAAUCUUAUUAUAAUUUCCAUAAGAAUUGUUGUAGGAAUUACCAUAAUUAUUAGAGGAAUUACUAGGAUACGUCCUAGCUAGGAUUAAAGUUUCCUCUAUACGUGUUGUUACCAAAAUUAUUCCUACCAACAAAAUUCACAUCCAUAGAUUCACUAUUAUUCUCAAUCAAAGUAGACAAAGGCAUAUCAUUAGGAUCAGAAGAAACACUUUUAUUAGCAAAUAAUUUCAUAAGUUCAUCCAUCUUUCCACUCAAAACAUUAAUUUCUUCUAUCGCAUGCACUUUCUUAUUAGUAGAUCUUUCAGUGUGCCAUUGAGAAUAAUUAACCAUAAUAUUAUCUAGGAGUUUAGUAGCUUCUCCUAAAGUGAUUUCCAUAAAAGUGCCUCCCGCGGCCGAAUCUAAAAGAUUUCUAGAAGCAAAAUUCAAUCUAGCAUAAAUUUUUUGUAUAAUCAUCCACAAAUUCAAACCAUGUGUAGGGCAAUUACGUAUCAUUAAUUUCAUCCUCUCCCAAGCUUGUGCAACAUGUUCAUGAUCAAGUUUCUUAAAAUUCAUAAUCUCAUUUCUAAGAGAGAUGAUCUUAGCGGGAGGAAAAUACUUAGAGAUAAAAGCAUCUUUGCACUUAUUCCAUGAAUCAAUACUAUUUUUAGGCAAAGACAAAAACCAAGCUUUAGCACGAUCUCUAAGCGAAAAAGGAAAUAGCUUCAAUUUAACAAUAUCAUUAUCCAUAUCUUUCUUCUUUUGCAUAUCACAUAAAUCAACGAAGCUAUUUAGAUGGGUAGCGGCAUCUUCACUAGGAAGGCCGGCGAAUUGAUCUUUCAUGACAAGAUUCAACAAAGCAACAUUGAUUUCACAAGAUUGAGUAUCAGAAAGAGAAGCAAUCGGAGUGCUAAGGAAAUCAUUGUUGUUGGUAUUGGUGAAGUCACACAAUUUAGUAUUAUCUUAAGCCAUCGUGACAAGCAAGCAAUCCAACACACAAGCAAACAAGAGACGGGCAAAAAGAGGCAAAUAGAGAGAGGGGGGGAGGACGGAGAGAGAGGGCGAAUAAAACGGCAAGGGUGAAGUGGGGGAGAGGAAAAUGAGAGGCAAAUGGCAAAUAAUGUAAUGCGGGAGAUAAGGGUUUUUGAUGGGUACUUGGUAUGUCUUGACUUGCAACGGCGCCACAAGUGACUCGUUGUUGGGAGUCAAAUCUUAACUUGUCUUGUGCGAACCUCCCCGUCAACGGUGCCAGAAAUCCUUCUUGCUACCUCUUGAGCACUGCGUUGGUUUUCCCUUGAAGAGGGAAGGGUGAUGCAGCAAAGUAGCGUAAGUAUUUCCCUCAGCUUUUGAGAACCAAGGUACCAAUCUAGUAGGAGGCCACGCACAAGUCCCUCGCACCUACACAAACAAAUAAAUCCUCGCAACCAACACGAUAAGGGGUUGUCAAUCCCUACACGGUCACUUACGAGAGUGAGAUAUGAUAGAUAUGAUAAAAUAAUAUUUUUGGUAUUUUUAUGAUAAAGAGAAAUAAAAGAUGCAAAGUAAAGUAAAUGGCAAAGGAAAUAACUAAGUAUUGGAAGAUUAAUAUGAUGGAAGAUAGACCCGGGGGCCAUAGGUUUCACUAGUGGCUUCUCUCAAGAGCAUAAGUAUUUACAGUGGGUGAACAAAUUACUGUUGAGCAAUUGACAGAAUUGAGCAUAGUUAUGAGAAUAUCUAGGUAUGAUCAUGUAUAUAGGCAUCACGUUCGAGACAAGUAGAACGGCUCCUGCCUACAUCUACUACUAUUACUCCACACAUCGACCGCUAUCCAGCAUGCAUCUAGAGUAUUAAGUUCAAGAGAACAGAGUAACACUUUAAGCAAGAUGACAUGAUGUAGAGGGAUAAACUCAUGCAAUAUGAUAUAAACCCCAUCUUGUUAUGCUUGAUGGCAACAAUACAAUACGUGCCUUGCUUCCCCUAUUGUCACUGGGAAAGGACACCGCAAGAUUGAAACCAAAGCUAAGCACUUCUCCCAUUGCAAGAAACAUCAAUCUAGUAGGCCAAACCAAACUGAUAAUUCAAAGAGACUUGCAAAGAUAACCAAUCAUACAUAAAAGAAUUCAGAGAAGAUUCAAAUAUUGUUCAUAGAUAAACUUGAUCAUAAACCCACAAUUCAUCGGCCUCAACAAACACACCACAAAAUAAGAUUACAUCGAAUAGAUCUCCACAAGAGAGGGGGAGAACUUUGUAUUGAGAUCCAAAAGGAGAGAAGAAUCCAUCUAGCUAAUAACUAUGGACCCGUAGGUCUGAAUUAAACUACUCAUACUUCAUCGGAAGGGCUAUGGUGUUGAUGUAGAAGCCCUCCGUGAUCGUGCCCCCUCCGACGGAGCUCCGGAAAAGGCCCCAAGAUGGGAUCUCGUGGAUACAGAAAGUUAUGGCGCUGGAAUUAGGGUUUUGGCUCCGUAUCUGGUAGUUUGGGGGUACGUAGGUAUAUAUAGGAGGAAGGAGUAUGUCGGUGGAACAACAGGGGGCCCACGAGGGUGGAGGGCGCGCCUGGGGGGGUAGGCGCGCCCUCCUACUUUGUGCCUUCCUCGUUGAUUGCUUGACGUAGGGUCCAAGUCCUCUGGAUCAUGUUUGUUCCAAAAAUCACGUUCCCGAAGGUUUCACUCCGUUUGGACUCCGUUUGAUAUUCUUUUACUGCGAAACCCUAAAAUAGACAAAAAAAUAGCAAUUCUGGGCUGGGCCUCCGGUUAAUAGGUUAGUCCCAAAAAUAAUAUAAAAGUGUAUAAUAAAGCCCAAUAAUGUCCAAAGCAUAAUAUAAUAUAGAAUGGAACAAUCAAAAAUUAUAGAUACGUUGGAGAUGUAUCAAUAAUAACUCUAAGAAGAUUCAAAUAAUAUUCAUAGAUAAGCUGAUCAUAAACCACAAUUCAUUGGAUCUCGGCAAACACACCACAAAAAAAUAUUACAUCAAAUAGAUCUCCAAGAACAUUGAGGAGAACAUGGUAUUGAGAAUCAAAGAGAGAGAAGAAGCCAUCUAUCUACAGCUAUGGACCCGUAGGUCUGUGGUAAACUACUCAUGCUUCAUCGAAAGAGCAAUGGUGUUCAUGUAGAAGCCCUCCGUGAUCGAAUCUCCCUCCGGCAAGACGCCGGAAAAGGCCCCUAGAUGGGAUCUCACGGGUACAGAAAGUUGCGGCGGUGGAAAAGUGUUUUUGUGGCUCUCCUGGUUGGUUUUGGGAUAUAUGGGAAUAUAUAGGCGGAAGAAAUAGGUCAGUGGAGUCACGAGGGGCCCACAAGGGUGGGGGUGUGCCCUACCACCCUGGGCGCACCCUCUGUCCUUGUGGCCGCUUCAUGGCUUCCUGACUUGCACUCCAAGUCCUCUCGAUGUCUUCUGGUCCAAGAAAAAUCAUUGCAAAAGUUUUAUUCCGUUUGGACUCCGUUUGGUAUUCCUUUUCUGCGAAACUCUAAAACAAGGAAAAAAAUAGAAACUCGCACCGGCCUCUAGGUUAAUAGGUUAGUCCCAUAAUUAAUAUAAAAUAGCAUAAUAAUGCAUAUAAAACAUCCAAAACAGAUAAUAUAAAAGCAUGGAACAAUCAAAAAUUAUAGAUACAUUGGAGAGGUAUCAAGAAUCCCCAAGCUUAAUGCCUGCUCGUCCUCGUGUAGGUAAAUCAUAAAAACAGAAUUUUUGAUGUGGAAUGCUACCUAACAUGUUUAUCCAUGUAAUUUCUUUUAUUGUGGCAUGAAUGUUCAGAUCCAUAUGAUUCAAAACAAAAGUUUAAUAUUGAAACAAUAAUACUUCAAGCAUACUAACAGGGCAAUUAUGUCUUCUCAAAAUAACAUGGCCAAAGAAAGCGUAUCCCUACAAAAUCAUAUAGUCUGGCUAUACUCCAUCUUCAUCACACAAAAUAUUUAAAUCAUGCACAACCCCGAUGACAAGCCAAGCAAUUGUUUCAUACUUUUGAUGUUCUCAAACUUUUCAACUUUCACGCAAUACAUGAGCAUGAGCCAUGGACAUAGCACUAUAAGGGGAAUAGACGGUGGUUGUGGAGAAGACAAAAGGAAGGAGAUAGUAUCACAUCAACUAGGCGUAUCAACGGGCUAUGGAUAUGCCCAUCAAUAGAUAUCAAUGUGAGUGAGUAAGGAUUGCCAUGCAAUGAAUGCACUAGAGCUAUAAGUUUAUGAAAGCUCAAAAAGAAACUAAGUGGGUGUGCAUCCAACUUGCUUGCUCACAAAGACCUAGGGCAAUUUGAGGAAGCCCGUCAUUGGAAUAUACAAGCCAAGUUCUAUAAUGAAAAAUUCCCACUAGUAUAUGAAAGUGACAACAUAUAGGAGACUCUCUAUCAUGAAGAUCAUGGUGCUACUUUGAAGCACAAGUGUGGUAAAAGGAUAGUAGCAUUGCCCCUUCUCUCUUUUCUCUCAUUUUUUUAUUUGGGCCUUCUCUCAUUUUUUGGCCUCUUUUUUUCGUCCGAAGUCUCAUCCCGACUUGUGGGGGAAUCAUAGUCUCCAUCAUCCUUUCCUCACAUGGGACAAUGCUCUAAUAAUGAAGAUCAUCACACUUUUAUUUACUUACAACUCAAGAAUUACAACUCGAUACUUAGAACAAAAUAUGACUCUAUAUGAAUGCCUCCGGCGGUGUACCGGGAUGUGCAAUGAAUCAAGAGUGACAUGUAUGAAAGAAUUAUGAACGCUGGCUUUGCCACAAAUACGAUGUCAACUACAUGAUCAUGCAAAGCAAUAUGACAAUGAUGGAGCGUGUCAUAAUAAACGGAACGGUGGAAGGUUGCAUGGAAAUAUAUAUCAGAAUGGAUAUGGAAAUACCAUAAUAGGUAGCUAUGGUGGCUGUUUUGAGGAAGGUAUAUUGUGGGUUUAUGGGGUUGGCGAAAGUUGCGCGGCACUAGAGAGGCUAGCAAUGGUGGAAGGGUGAGAGUGCGUAUAAUCCAUGGACUCAAAAUUAGUCAUAAAGAACUCACAUACUUAUUGCAAAAAUAUAUUAGUCAUCGAAACAAAGUACUACACACAUGCUCCUAGGGGGAUAGAUUGGUAGGAAAAGAUCAUCGCUCGUCCCCGACCGCCACUCAUAAGGAAGACAAUCCACAAAUAAAUCAUGCUCCAACUUCAUCACAUAAUGGUUCGUCAUACAUGCAUGCUACGAGAAUCACAAACUUUAACACAAGUAUUUCCCAAAUCAACAAUUACUUACUAGCAUGACUCUAAUAUCACCAUCUUCAUAUCUCAAAACAAUCCUAAAGAAUCAAACUUCUCAUAGUAUUCAAGGCACUUUAUAUGAAAGUUUUUAUUAUAUCCCUCUUGGAUGCUUAUCAUAUUAGGACUAAAUUUAUAACCAAACCAAAUUACCAUGCUGUUUAGAUACUCUCAAAAUAAUAUAAGUGAAGCACGAGAGUUCAUCAAUUUCUAUAAAAUAAAACCACUGUCGUGCUUUAAAAAGAUAUAAGUGAAGCACUAGAGCAAUAUUGCCUAGCUCAAAAGAUGUAAGUGAAGCACAUAGAGUAUUAUAAUAAAUCAUGAUUCAUGUGUGUCUCUCUCAAAAGGUGUGUACAGCAAGGAUUAUUGUGGAAAACUAAAAAGCAAAGACUCAAAUCAUACAAGACGCUCCAAUCAAAACACAUAUCAUGUGGUGAAUAAAAAUAUAGCCUCAAGUAAAGUUACCGAUAGACGAAGACAAAAGAGGGGAUGCCUUCCGAGGCAUCCCCAAGCUUAGGCUCUUGGUUGUCCUUGAAUAUUACCUUGGGGUGCCUUGGGCACCCCCAAUCUUAGUCUCUUGCCACUCCUUAUUCCAUAGUCCAUUAAAUCCUUACCCAAAACUUGAAAACUUCACAACCCAAAACUCAACAGAAAAUGUCAUAAGAUGCGUUAGUAUAAGAAAAUAAAUCACCACUUUUGGUAAUGUUGUGAACUCAUGCUUUAUUUAUAUUGGUGUAAUAUCUACUGUAUUCAAACUUUUCCAUGGUUCAUACCCCUCGAUAAUAGCCAUAGAUUCAUCAAAAUAAGCAAACAACACAUAGAAAACAGAAUCUGUCAAAAACAGAACACUCUGUAGCAAUCUGGAUAUUUCGAAUACUUAUGUAACUCCAAAAAUUCUGAAAAAUUAGGAAAACCUAAGCAAUUUGUUUAUUAAUCUUAUUCAAAAAGAAUCAAUAUUUCAUCACGCUUCUGUUAAAAAUUAGAAUUGUUUUCCUAAGCAUAAAAGUUUCUGUUUUUCAGCAAGAUCAAAUCAACUAUCACCGUAAGCUAUCCCAAAGGUCUUACUUGGCACAAACACUAAUUAAAACACAAAACCACAUCUAACCAGAGGCUAAGUGAAUUAUUUAUUGAAAAACAGCAAGGAAAAAUAUUGGGUUCUCUCCCAACAAGCGCUUUUCUUUAAAGCCAUUAAGCUAGGCAUCGAUAAUUUAAAUGAUGCUCACAUGAAAGAUAGCAAUUAAACACGAAGAGAGCAUCAUGUAGCAUGUGAAAAACGCAUCUAUGUCUAACAUACUUCCUAUGCAUAGGCAUCUUAUAAGCAAAAAAAUUAUCAAGGCAAACAAAAACUAGUAUAUGCAAGGAAGAAGAACGGAACAAUAGCAAUCUCAACAUAACGAGAGGUAAUCUAGUAACAUGAAAAUUUCUACAGCCAUAUUUUCCUCUCUAAUAAUAAUUACUCCCUCCGUUCCAAAAUAGAUGACCCAACUUUGUACUAAAGUUAGUACAAAGUUGGGUCAUCUAUUUUGGAAUGGAGGGAGUACAUGUGGGAUCAUAUUCAAAUUCAACAAUAUAGCUAUCACAUAAUAUUUUCUCUACAUGAUCCACAUGCAUGCAAAGUUGACACUCUUCCAAAAUAGUGGGAAUAUCUUUAACUAAAGUCAUGACCUCUCCAAACCCACUUUUAUCAAAAAUUUCAUAAGAUUGAUUAUACUCCAAAGUAGUGGGAUCAUUAUUUCCUAAAUUUGACACUCUUCCAAACCCACUUUCAAUAUUAUAGCAAACAUAUUCAUCAUGAGGAUUAAAUAAAUUUUCAAGAUCAUAAGAAGCAUUAUCACCCCAAUCAUGAUCGUUGCAACAAGUAGUGGACAUAGAAAAACUAGCAUCCACAAGUUUAGGGUUUUGCAUAUUAUUAGCACAAUUUACAUCAAUAGAAUUUAUAGUAAAACCAUUGCAAUCAUGCCUUUUAUUCAAGGAUCUAUCAUGAAUCACUUCAUAAAUUUCUUCAUCACAAUUUUUAGAUUCACGAAUUUCAAGCAAAACUUCAUAAAGAUAAUCUAGUGCACACAACUCACUAGAAAUCAGUUCAUCGUAAUUGGAUCUCUUAAAAAGAUUAGCAAGAGGAUGAGGAUCCAUAAACUCUUAGCAAGCGAAGAUGAAAGCAAAAAGAAGGCACAUGGUAACACAAGAUCGAACGGAAGAAGGGCGAAAGAAAAUGCAAAUCUUUUCAAAAAAAUCAUUUUAGAAGUGGGGAAGAGGAAAACAAGAGGCGAAUGGCAAAUAAUGUAAUGCAAGAGAUGAGAGUUUAUGAUGGGUACUUGGUAUGUCUUGACUUGUCGUAGAUCUCCCCGGCAACGGCGCCGGAAAUUCUUCCUGCUACUUCUCGAGCUUGCUUUUGUUUUUCCCUUGAAGAGGAAAGGGUGAUGCAGCAAAGUAGAGUAAGUAUUUCCCUCAGUUUUGAGAACCAAGGUAUCAAUCCAGUAGGAGACAACGAACAAAUCACCGAAUACCUACACAAGCAAUAAAACAACUUGCACCCAACGCAAUAAAGGGGUUGUCAAUCCCUUCACGUUACUUGCAAAAGUGAGAUCUGAUAGAGAUAGAUAAACGGUAAAGUAAAUAUUUUUGGUAUUUUUGGUUUAUAGAUCGGAAAGUAAAAGAUUGCAAAGGAAGUAAAUCUGAAACUAAAAUUGUAGAUCGGAAACUUAUAAGAUGGAAAAUAGACCCGGGGGGCAUAGGUUUCACUAGAGGCUUCUCUCAAGAUAGAAAAUAUUACAAUGGGCGAACAAAUUACUACCAAGCAAUUGAUAGAAAAGCGCAAAGUUAUGACAAUAUCUAAGGCAAUGAUCAUGAAUAUAGGCAUCACGUCCGUGUCAAGUAGACCGAAACGAUUCUGCAUCUACUACUAUUACUCCACACAUCGCUGCUAUCCAACAUGCAUCUAGAGUAUUAAGUUCUUAAAGAAUGGAGUAACACAUUAAGCAAGAUGACAUGAUGUAGAGGAAUUAACUCAAGCAAUAUGAUGAAAACCCCAUCUUUUUAUCCUCGAUGGCAAAAAUACAAUACAUGCCUUGCUGCCCCUACUGUCACUGGGAAAGGACACCACAAGAUUGAACCCAAAGCUAAGCACUUCUCCCAUUGCAAGAAAAACCAAUUUAGUUGGCCAAACCAAAUCGAUAGUUCGAAGAGACUUGCAAAGAUAUCAAAUCAUGCAUACAAUAAUUCAGAGAAGAUUCAAAUAAUAUUCAUAGAUAAGCUGAUCAUAAAUCCACAAUUCAUCACAUCUCGGCAAACACACCGCAAGAAAGUAUUACAUCGAAUAGAUCUCCAAGAACAUCAAGGAGAACAUGGUAUUGAGAAUCAAAGAGAGAGAGAAGAAGCCAUCUAGCUACUAGCUAUGGACCCGUAGGUCUGUGGUAAACUACUCACGCUUCAUCGGAAGGGCAAUGGUGUUCAUGUAGAAGCCCUCUGUGAUCGAAUCCCCCUCCUCCAGGAUGCCGAAAAAGGCCCCUAGAUGGGAUCUCACGGGUACAGAAGGUUGCGGCCGUGGAAAAGUGUUUUCGUGGCUCUCCUGGUUGGUUUUGGGAUAUAUGGGAAUAUAUAGGCGAAAGAAAUAGGUCGGUGGAGUCACGAGGGGCCCACAAGGGUGGGGGCGCGCCCUCCGUCCUUGUGGCCGCCUCAUGGCUUCUCUGACUUGCACUCCAAGUCCUUUGGAUGUCUUCUGGUCCAAGAAAAAUCAUCACGAAAAUUUUAUUCUGUUUGGUAUUCCUUUUCUGCGAAACUGUAAAACAAGGAAAAAACAGAAACUGGCACUAGCAUUGGCCUCUAGGUUAAUAGGUUAGUCCCCAAAAUAAUAUAAAAUAACAUAUUAAUGCAUAUAAAACAUCCAAAACAGAUAAUAUAAUAGCAUGGAACAAUAAAAAAUUAUAGAUACGUUGGAGACGUAUCAAAGCUCAAGAAGUAGCAGGGCUCCUUAUGCAAAAUACACAAAAGACAUCAUCACUAAUAAGAGAAAAAUACCUCAAGCUGAAAUCUCCACAAUGCUUAAUAAUUAUUAUUUUAAGAAUGGGGUACCUAAAAAACUUGGAGGCCUGGGGAUACCAACUAUACCUUGCUCCAUCAAAAGAAAUUAUGUUAAAACUGCUUUGUGUGAUUUAGGAGCUGGUAUUAGUGUUAUGCCUUUAUCCUUAUAUAAAAGACUUCAUUUGAAUAAACUCACACCUACUGAAAUAUCUUUGCAAAUGAGUGACAAAUCAACUUCCAUACCUAUCGGUAUUUUUGAGGAUGUGCCCAUUGUUGUUGCAAAUGUUACUAUCUUAACUGACUUUUUUAUACUUGAGAUGCCCGAGGACGACAACAUGUCGAUUAUCCUUGGUAGACCCUUCUUGAAUGUUGCAGGGGCUGUAAUUGAUUGCAAUAAAAGCAAGGUUACUUUUCAUAUCAAUGGUAAUGAACAUACGGUGCACUUUCCAAAGAAACAAUUCCAAGUGGAUGGUAUUAAUGCUAUUGAAAAAUCUCUGACACUUACUAUUGGAAGUUUUCAACUACCUCCUGCCAAAUAGAAAUAUGAAAUGCUUAUUGUUGAGGAGAUGCAUAUCCCCGUUGAGGUAACUUAGUGUUUUAUGAAAGUUCUUCAAUUUCAUGUUAACCGAAGGUGGUUGUUAAUAAGACUUGAUCAACCUUAUUAAUGGAUCAUUUUUUAGAGGUAUGAAGUUGAUGAAUUUAGUGAGCACAACCUUCUGUCCUUAACUUUUGUUUUCUGUUUUGUUAGUUGAAUAAAAUAAAAUGUCAUGUUUUGGCUGUUUUCUGAAUUUCCCGAGCAAUAAAAAAUGACCCAAAAAUAUAAGUUCUCAGAAUGCCUUGAAAAUUUAAUAUGAUUUUUCUGAUUAUUUAAGAUUUUUUAUGCAAAUAACAUCAGAGGGGUGCGCCAGGUGGGCACAACCCACCUGGGCGCGCCCUGGUGGGUUGUGGUCCCCAUGUGGGCCCUCUCACUUAUCUCUUUAGCCCAUGUCAUCACCUACCUCCAGAAAAAAACACCAUUGCUCUCUCUCUAUCUCUCCCGUGUUCUUGCUCUCAAACUCGUGGAUUUCAAUCUCUUUGCUGGAAGCUUCGUUUCUAAAACUAUUUUGGGGGAUUGCUACUUGGUUUGUGACUCCUCCAUUGGUCCAAUUAGUUUUUGCUUUAGUGGAUUAUAUUUUAAAUAAUUAGCUACUCUUGGUGCUGCUGUAGAUGAGCUUACAUGUUGAAUUAUUAGAGUUCUAAGUAGUUUGAAUGCCCAAUAUAGCCUCUAUGCCUCCCUAUGAGUAAUUGUUAUCAAUCUUGUAAAGUUCUGUUGACAAAAAAUUGUGGACUAAAAAUUUCAGAAUUUUAUUAAUAGGAAUAAGAUGAGUUUCUUUAGGAAGUUUACUCCCAAGAAGAACUCUAAGGGAGUCAUUGGGGAGUCAUCGUACAAUAAUCUUCACACUCGGAGAAUGGCGGAGGUGCGACCGGCGAAUUGCCGUAUAACCCCUUCAUGGAUGGAGCCGGGAUCCGUCAAGAGUUCACACAAUUUGCUGCUAAUGCUGGUCUCACCGACUUCAUCGCAGCUGAGCGUGAACAAUAUCAUCUCCUUACAAAUUCCUUUGUGCAAAGUUUUCAUUUUUUGAGUAGGAAUAAUCCCCCUGAGGUGCGGUUUAAUUUAUAUGUUGAGACUCGUCAGAUACCACUUACUGAUUUUUGUGACAUAUGCCUGAUCCCUUCUGAUGGGGAAAUAAGAGAGCCUAGACCUGCAGAGUUUGAGGAAUUUUAUCAUACUCUAUCAGUGGGAGAUGAGAGAGGGGUAUCGAGUGUCACUGCCACUAGCUUUGCAGUUUCCUUUUGUGCACUAGUUUGCUCUAUUUAUCGCGAAGUGUUUACAUGCUAGAGAGAAGGUUGGUGCACUUAGUGCCCCUGAUUUCAUUAUCCUAUGUUGUGCACUAUACGGUGAUAACACCUUUAGCCUAGGGGCUAUUAUUGCACGCCGUUUGCACCUUAACAGGACCAAGGGAAAAUUCAUGGUGGAUUUACGCCACUCGCUUAGCGAGUCAUUUUAAUGUUCAGAUACGCCAACAUGAUCAUCGUUUGCCUGAGGUUUACCUAGAUCGCCAGGAGAUGGUAGCUCAUCAGUUUAUUGAUGGCGAGGACACUAUUAAUAAUGUUCCUUACAACCUGGUUUUCAGUGUGGAUACCCAUGAUAUUAUUUCGUUGCCUGCACCUGCUUUGUUUGAUUCUAUUGCCAGGGGCGGAUAUAGGGUCAUGCCAGAUGACAUCAUUGCCUACCGGAACAGUCAAGCAGUGGCUGAGGAGGAGCCUCAGGAGUGGGACGCUCAGGUGCCUGCUCCACAGCACUUCAACAUGGGACUGGAGGGCUACUACGAGUGGUGAUUACCAAGUUAGGCCAAAAGCCUAAGCUUGGGGGAGUACGUAUUUCCAUUGACAUUAUAUUCAUGUUCACACAUUACAUUCCAGUUGCUGGUGUUCACACUUUUUCAUUGUAUUAUCCAUGCUAGAUUUAUUUCCCCAUUUUCUUCUUGUGUGUUUGAAAAACUUUGAGAAAAUCACAAAAAAAAUGUUGCUUGCUUAUUUUCGGUUUUUCUUUCCAGUUUAGUUAGUUGUAGUAUUUAAAAGAAAACCCAAAAAGAUUUCCUUGUUCUUCUUUUGCUUGUUGGGAGCUCUCCCGUGUAAAUAGUUUUUCUCGUUUUUAUUUUUCUCUUUAAUUUGCUUUCUUCAAGAAAAACUAAAAACUCCAAAAAUAUUUUAGUGCGUUUCUUGGAAAUUCUUUUCUUUUUAUUGAGUCAUACCAAGGAGAAGACCACAAUGAAAAUGUUGAGUGGCUCUCAUAUGCAUUAUUGUUGAUAUAACAAAGAGCCCAAAUUGCCUUGUUUUCUCCUUUUGAAUAAAAUGUUUGCAGAUUCCAGAUUAAUUAGUCCACGGCACUCUUGCACUAUUAUUAUUUUCAUAUCAUUCGGCCGUGCAAGUGAAAGGCAAUAAUGAUGAUAUUUGAUGAACUGGCUGUGGCAGAGAGAAACGCGUAUGAACUCAACUUGUUCUGUUUUUGUAAAUAUGUUUAACCUAGUACCAUGAUCCAGCCUGUUAUGAUCAAACAUGUUUGCAAUGCCAAUUAGAUAUUAUAGUUUCUAAUGCCAUGCUUAAGUAGUUAGGGGUGGAUAAUGAUUUAUCUUGGAUAUCAAUAUUGCGUUAAAAUGAUUGUGAUAUAGUAUGAUGAUAUGGUAUCCUCCUCUCAAUGUUUCAACUGGCUUGACUUGGCACAUGUUCAUGCAUGUAGUUGAAUCAAAACCAACAUAGCCUCUAUGAUAUUUAUGUUCAAGGUGUUCAUAUCCUACUCAUGUUAGUAUCCGAUGUUACUUAUGCAUAAUGCAUGUUCAUGACCAUUUUCGCUCUCUAGCUGACCGCUUCUCAACCUAUUUGCUAGCCUUCGCCUGUACUAAGCGAGAAUACUGCUUGUGCAUCAAAAUCAUAAAACCCAAGUUAUUCUAUAUGAGUCCAUCAUAUAUCUACCUAUAUGUGGUAUUACACUGCCGUUCUAAGUAAAUUUGCAUGUGACACCUCUAAAAACUUCAAACAAACAUUCGGCUUUGUGUGCCUGGAUUGUUCGUAUAGCAACAGGAGGUAGUCGGUAUCAUCCAUGCUAAGCGGGCUAUUCUCAUGAUGAGUGUUUAUUCACUCAUCCUUGCACAAGAGGGGCGGUAAUAGGGAUUCCCAGUCCCGAAUUCAAAUUGCAAAUAAUUAAACAAAACCCCCCAGGAAUGAUGUUGGUAUGGAAGGUACCCGCGGAUUCGGCUAGCCGUGGAGUGUGUUUGUUGGUGGAGGGGGAGUAAACCUUUGCUUUUAUUGCUCGGGAACCGCCACUAAUGUGUUUAUCAUGGAAGAUAUCGAUAACUAAUGGUCACGAAGUAAACGGGAAGGAUGCAUUUCUCAAAAUUUCAUUUAUCUUUGUUUUAAAAUUUUGAGCUCUGGCACCGCUGCAAAUCCCUACUUCCCUUUGCCAAGGGACUAUCUAUUUAAUUUUAUGUUGUGUCAUCACCUUCUCAAAUAAGCGCUAGAUCUGAGAGUACUAUUGUCAUCCUCAUGCAUUGUGUAUAGCUAAUGUUGGGUCCAUCAUGACUGGAUCUUUUCUACCAUGAAUUACAAUGUUUAGUCGCUACUUGAACUUUGGAGGUGCUCUGCAUUUAUGUUUUGUGGUCUCAGAAAGGGCUAGCGAGAUACCAUUGUUGUUAUGUUAUAUCAUGAUUGUUUUGACAAAGUGUUGUCAUUUGAGAUACUUUAUUAUUGCUCGCUAGUUGCAUAUGCCAUUGAUAUGAGUUAAUAUAAUUUCUAAGAGUUAUUGUUGGCAUGGUUAGUUAUAAUCUUUGCGGAAAACCUGGGUACUACUUAAGCUUAUUUCUAUAAACAAGAACAAAAGAGUUCGUAAAAGUUUUCUUUUUCACUUUUAGUUUAUCAACUGAAUUGCUUCAGGACAAGCAAAGUUUUAAGCUUGGGGGAGUUGAUACGUCUCCCGCAUAUCUACUUUUCCUAACGCUUUUGCUCUUGUUUUAGACUCUAAUUUGCAUGAUUUGAAUGAAACUAACCCGAACUAACGUUGUUUUCAGCAGAAAUACCAUGGUGUUGUUUUUGUGCAGAAAUAAAAGUUCUCGGAUUGGAACUAAACUUUUUGGAGAAUUUUUAUGGAAUAAAAGAAAAACAUUGGAGCCAAGAACCACCAGAGGGAGGGCUGGGUGAGCACAACCCACCAGGGCGCCCCCCCCCCCUCCUGGCACGCCCAGGUGGGUUGUGCUCACCUGGUGGACCCGCUGACCCUAUCUCCGAUGCUAUAAAAUCUUACUUUAGAGAAAAAAUCAGGGAGAAAUAAUUAUCGUGUUUCACGAGAUGGAGCCGCCGCCACCUCUUGUUCUUCAUCGGGAGACCAGAUCUAUAGUCCGUUUGGGGCUCCAAAGAGGGGUAUCUUCGAUCUUCGUCAUCACAAAUCCUUCUCCAUUGCCAAUUCCAUGAUGCUCCCCACUGGGAGUGAGUAAUUCCUUCAUAGGCUCACUAGUCGGUGAGGGAGUUGGAUGAAAUUCAUCAUGUAAUCGAGCUAGUUUUGUUAGGGCUUGAUCCCUAGUAUCCAUUAUGUUCUGAGAUUGAUGUUGUUAUGACUUUGCCAUGCUUAAUGCUUGUCACUUUGGGCCUGGGUGCCAUGAUUUCAUAUCUGAACCGUUUAUGUUAUCAACAUUAUAUCUAUGUUCUAGAUCCGAUCUUGCAAGUUAUAGUCACCUAUUACGUGUUAUGAUCUGUAAACCCCAGUGUAACAAUAGUCGGGAUAAUUUUUGAUGAUGACCAUAAUUUGAGGAGUUCAUGUAUUCACUAUGUGCUAAUGCUUUGUUCCGGUUCUCUAUUAAAAGGAGGCCUUAAUAUCCCUUAGUUUCCUUAUGGACCCUGCUGCCACGGGAGGGUAUGACAAAAGAUGUCAUGCAAGUUCUUUCCAUAAGCACGUAUGACUAUUUAUGGAAUACAUGCCUACAUUAUAUUUAUGAACUGGAGCUAGUUUUGUAUCGCCCUAGGUUAUGAUUUAUAUAUGAUGAAUAUCAUUCGAAGAAUUCACCGAUCCAAUGCCUACUAAUUUUCCACAUAUUGAUCUUGCUAAGUUACUACUACUGUUGUUACUAUUUCACUUGCUACAAAAUCACUGCUAUCACUAUUACCGCUACUAUUGUUGCUUCCACUAUUAUCAAAAAUAUCAUAUUACUUUGCUACUGAUCACUUUGCUGCAGAUAAUUAAUCUCCAUGUGUGGUUGAAUUGACAACUCAGUUGCUAAUACUUGCAAAUAUUCUUUGGCUCCCCUUAUGUCGAAUCUAUAAAUUUGGGUUGAAUACUCUACCCUCGAAAACUGUUGUGAUCGCCUAUACUUGUGGGUUAUCACCCAAUAAGGCCUAGGUGCCUCCCCGCAGACCAUGCUAGCUCUUGGGUCAUGGUGGACCCACUUGUGGAUUUCCGGACCCCUAUGGAACCUUUUGGAAGCUUCCCGGUACAAUACCGAAAAAACUGCACCUUUUUCCGGAACCCAAAAUGUGACUUCCCAUAUAUAAAUCUUUACCUCUCGACCAUUCCGAGACUCCUUGUAACGUUUGGGAUCUCAUCUGGGACUCCAAACAACAUUUGGUGACCACUCAUCAAAUAUCCCAAUACUACUCUAGCGUCAACGAAGGUUAAGCGUGCGACCCUGCAGGUUCAGAAAUUAUGUAGUCAUGACCGAGACACCUUUCCGGUCAAUAACCAAUAGCGGGACCUAGAUGCCCAUAUUUAUUUCUAUAUAUUCCACAAAGAUCUUUUAUCGGUUGAACCUUUAUGACAACAUAUGUAAUUUCCAUUGUCUGUCGGUAUGUUACUUGCCCGAGAUUCGAUCGUCGGUAUCUCUAUGCCUAGUUCAAUCUUGUUACCGGCAAGUCUCUUUACUCGUUCCGUAAUACAUCAUCUUGCAACUAAAUCCUUAGUCACUUUGCUUGCAAGCUUCUUGUGAUGUGUAUUACCGCGAGGGCCUAGAGAUACCUCUCCGUCAUACGGAGUUACAAAUCCCAAUCUCGAUUCACGCCAACUCAACAGACACCUUCGGAGAUACCUGUAGAGCAUAUUUAUGAUCACCCAGUUACAUUGUGAUGUUUGAUAGCACACAAGGUAUUCAUCCAGUAUAUCCGGGAGUUGCAUGAUCUCAUGGUCGAAGAAAUAUGUAUUUAACAUUAAGAAAGCAAUAGCAAUAAACUGAACGAUCAAAUGUUAUGCUAAAGGAUGGGUCCUGUCCAUCACAUCAUUCUCCUAAUGAUGUGAUCCCGUUAUCAAGUGACAACACAUGUCUAUGGUUAGGAAACCUCAAUCAUCUUUUGAUCAACGAGCUAAUCUAGUAGAGGCUCACUAGGGACACGGUGUUGCCUAUGUAUCCACACAUGUAUCUGAGUUCCCGAUCGAUACAAUUCUAACAUGGAUAGUAGACGUUUAUCAUGAACAGGGAAAUAUGUUAAUAACCAAUUUUAUUAUUGCCUCUAGGGCAUAUUUCCAACAAGGACCACAUUAAAGUAAUUGAUAUUUCAAAUUCCAUUCGGUUUUUCGUUAGCGUUGUGAUUCUAAUUUGGUUCUUAUUACUAUAUGUAAAUUCCAGUGGUAUCCCGAGAACACAGAGUUGCUUAACAAGGAGAUCUAAAAAUUUGGGUGGAUAAAGAUAUUGUGUGGCCUGGGGAGGAUUAUCCACGGGUGGUGUAGCUCCAAAAGAAGUGAAUACAGAUAUCAUGUUUGGCUGGCUCUUGGUUGUUCCCUCCUUUCGACUCUUCGUCCACAGGGUUUCUUGCUUCCUCAACCGCCGCCCCAUCUUGUCCGUCCUGAUGAUCUUCUUCAUGUUCGGUUAUCUCAUGUUCGUACUUCCCUCCUUUUGGCUAUUCAUCGAAAGGGUAUCCUACUUCCUCUUUUGCCGCCCUUUUGACAUUGGCAUCAUCCUCGUCCUCACCGUGCCUUGCCCAUCGUGUAUAACUAGGCAUGCAAUCAUGUUUGAGCAAGUGCAUCCUCACACGAUCAGUAAAAGGGUCGAUCAAAACCUCAUUCUUGCACUUCUUAAAAGGACAUAAUAUCUUCCUUUUACCCUUUCAAUUCAUAUCUUCCAAUGCCACCUUGAAGAACCGAUUUAUAGUUUGAUCCAUAUGCAUGAAUCGUUCGAUCGAUCUAGUUGCCUACAAGAGAGUAUAUAGGAAAAAGUUAUAUAUAGCUAACGAGGUCACAAAACAUUUCAACAUUACCUUUUUUUAAAAUCUGACAUAUAUUGAGUGUCAGAAAUUUGAUGAAAUCGAAAUUUGGGCAUUACCAAGAUCAUAGACAAAUAUGAUUGAGAUAGCCGUCGAUAGAUUGUGGCAGAGGCCGGCCACAAGUAUAAGUAUGUAGGGAUUUGUGCAGCGAUCAGGGAGAGAUUUUUUGGAGGGAGGAGUGGUAGCUAUAGGUGAGGGAUAAGUCUCUAUAUAUAAUCCGAUCAGAAUUAACCAUGCUAUUACUUGUUUGUCUUGCUGGUGGCCAGGCACAACACUGCCAUGUAGGACCCAAAGUGGUCCCGUAGAAUAUACAAUUGAUGUGACGAGAAGUAUCAUGCCACCAGUAGGCAUAAUAGUGAUUGUGUGGGUUGUUUUGCCACGUCGACAUUAUAUUGCGCUUGGCCAGACUAAUGUGUCCCACAUACUCAUGGCGUGCUAUUUGUUAGUCACGCCACCAGUAAUGGAAUAGUGAUGGCAUACGAAAUAUGCCCACGCCAUUGGUAUUUCAGAAAAAUAGUUGCGAUAUGGAUUGAAAGUGGCGCGCCACCAAUUAAAGUUUUUUAUCGAAUACGCACAAGUGUGCGUACUAUAUACUAGCACAAAUGUCCGUGUGUUGCAUCGGGUGAAAAAAAACCACACUUUCCUAACCCAAUUGCUCAAGACCCCCUCUCAUUCCAUGACACACCGCCAGGCAUGAUGACAUGAACAAACUCUUUGAAAUCCUCCAUCCUGCCAUAAAAAUAUGUAUUGCAGAAAAAUAUAAACGUAUUUCAGAAGUGUACUAAAGAUGUGUGGAAUUUAAAUCAUAGAGAUAUCUACCUGGUUGUGAGUAUCUUUUCAUGCCUUUGUUGGAGUUGCUUAGUGAUGCCCAAAACAUAUCGCAUUAUACCGUAAAUAGUAAAGUCCAUUUUAGUACAAUGUUUUUUGCUUCACUACGGAGGUAACACGAAUUUUCAUGAAGCAAUGUUGGCUAGGUUUAGGGACUGUGUAGCAUACACUAUUCGUGCCCAACAAUCAAGCACCUAUUUUUAACCGGUACUAUCUUUUUCAUUAUAAUUCUCAAAAAUUUAUUGUACAUGAACAAUAAAUAAAUAAUUUCUUUAUUAUGACUUAGGCAUAGUAUUUUCUAACAUAAUUUUUCCCGGUGAUUAUAAACAAUAAAUAAAUAAAUCUAAUAUAAUUUUCUCUCGAGUUAUGGACAGGGUAAAACUUCGUUCAUGGGAUUAUAGCUAGGGCAGAGGAUGAAAUUUUUUUGAGGGGGAGACUUUUGAUUGAUUUCUAGCUGGUUUACUUCUUUAAUAUCAAUCCUAGAAAUCUCUCCCUUUCCUUCUUUAUUAUCAAUUCACGGAAUCCCUCCUUUCCUUCUUUGUUCUCUCCAUUCUUCCUUAUUAGGACACUUUCUUCUUAUUACAGGACGUCUGGCUUCCCACUUUUUUCACGGAAUCCCUCUUUCCUUGUUAUUACGGGACAGCUUCCCACCUUUUUUUUGCUUUCAAUCCCAAAUAUCGCAAUUGCAUUUUGUUUCCAAGGUUCCCAAACGUAGACAUGUGCACAUUGUUAGAAAAUGGAGGAGCUAAAUAACAACUGUAAGUUGAGCUAGGACAAGCUAUACACUACAUGAUGGAAUCAUGUGGCUUAAUCAUGUUCUGAGGAAAGAGGAUCAUCAUAUUGAAGAACAAAGUUACUUAAUUAAUCACUAUUUCAGAGGAAAAUGAUCUGAAGGUCAAAUGACAACAAUGUCAUCGCUCAAAUGAACAAGGUCAUCCCAUUACAGGCGGUGUCAGGUGAGUUUAGAGGUUGAACACAUGGUGGAGUUAACUUUACGUGGAGAUGUUUGCUGCAAGGAGCUAAGGCUACAUUUAUAACUGGAACUAUAUAGGAACAUUGUCAAAUUAAAUUCAUCGACAAAAAAGCAUGGCUGCAUCGAAUUAUGCUUUUGCACUAGAUAUCCUCCUACAAUAAAUUGAAGCAAACUAUAAAGAACUCACUUUAAUCAUUAGUGGUACAAAAAGUUCAGCAAGAGAUUCUUUAUUAGUGCUCCCAAACCCCUUGAAUAGCACAUCAUUUCUCUGAACACCUGCAAAGUCUUCACCAUCUACAAAAGGGUAUAAAAUAUCUUACUAUUAGUUUAAUUAGUAAUCAGAUGAUAAUAAUAUGACACAACAGCAGAUUUAGUUUACAAUCUUAUCUUAUGGAAGUAUUAGUAAGAGAAUAACAGAGUUAACACUGGAGUUGGGACUGUGAACUAUCUGCCACUGCAAGCUGACCACAACACACACAUUACCAUCAUGCACUAAGGAGGAGGGCCUAGACUGGAUGAAUUCUUUUUUUUGUCAUACUGACAACAGAAGAACAAUGACAACAAUAUCUAUAGGAUGGUACGUACUUGUCCAUUGGCACAUUUAACUGGAUCACGAAGAUGUGAUAACUUGUUACUUGGCCUAGGCACUUACCUGGCCGUGGGGAGUGUAGCGACGUAGCCGGCAUCGAUCGGGCAGGGCAAGGCAGCGCAAUCCUGGUGGGGGCAGUGCAGGGCGUCCAUGCUAUGCAGAAAAGAUAACAUCAUAAUCAACUUGCUCUUGUCCAUCCAAAAACUCAGGUUUUGUGUAAUCUAUGUUUUCAGAUAACCUUAAUAAGUUGUUCUAAGUAACACGCUUCCUAAAAUAUCAAACUUAUAAUCUAAGGUGAUGGCAAAGCAUUAUAUUCAGGGUACAAAUCCUUGGAUGCCAUCAUAAUUUAUUGUCAGUUAUCAUAAUAGACUGAUAGUUACAGAGGAUGCACACAUGCAGACUACAAUAAUCCUUUGGUUCUUGUACAAAUUGCGUGGUAUAUCAGACAUACUAAACAAUAGGCCUGUCAAAUUGAAAAUUAAGCCAGAGGUUGCCAAAUACAACCGGGCUUGUCAAAUAAAUAUGUGAAAUCAACUCGUAAGCUCAUGAUAUUUUUCAAUCAAAUACAAACAGCAGAAUUAUUUUAGCUGGGCUAACAGAUGAACAAGCUAGAUAACAGAGAAUAAGCUGAUAGGCCAUGCAUUACAAAUUUGAUCAAAAUUCCACAAAUUUCAUAGGUAGUAUAUACAGCCAGUGGGAAUAAAUACUAAUCGAAGUUGUACAUCAGAAUCACAACUGGAACCUACCUGUGUUUCAGUUCUGAAAAUUGUAGCCUAUGUAUCAUAAAACUGUUUUAUUCUACACAGGGGACCAAACCGUGUACCCCCAUCCACCCCUUGUUCAAAGAUUUUCUGCUCUUUUAAGUCCUGGAUAACAAGAAAGAAGACUAUUGGAGAUGGUUGAGCUGAUCUCAUACUUGAAGCAUGAAUGCCAACUAUCAUGGCAUCGUUUUAUACAUUAGAACAUCUGGAAGAAAACACGAACGAUUGUCCUAUUCAUAAAUUUUCAUAAAUGCAGGAUAAAUAAAAUCAAGUUUGCAGUAACCUUUUCAAAAUGCAGUUUUUGAUGUUCCAUGUUAUUUUCCAGGGUAGAAAUCACCCGAGAUGAACGACAUACCAGAUCAAAGAGGAGUGUUGCUGGCAAGUUCCUUUGACCUGCUCGAUCUAGAUCAUCGGCUCAAUCCUGCUGAUAAUCCAUGAUGUGCUCUUGGGAAAGAGAAAACAAGAAGAGGGUCGCUGCACCUUGCCAAGUGGGAGGCUAGAUGAUCCACUAAGCCAUCUACUUUUUUCCUUCUCAACAUCAAACUUGGGCUUCCAUGUCUUCUCCAGGAUAGAGGUGGCUACCUUCUAAUCAUCGGCAAAAAGAAUAUUGCCAUAAACGAUGCCAUCAUGCAUUGUCCAAAUCUCAAUUCCAAUAGCAGCAAUUGGAUCAAAGUCAGGCUUGUCAAGCUCAAAGUACUCAGGGUUGGGGAUAUCUUGGGGCUUCCAGAUUCCCUUGUAGCUGGGGUUGUCAAUCAGGGGUGCAUGCCACUUGCCUUUGUAGGAAGGAUUCUGCUUCAUCCGCCUCUUCCAUUCACCACAACCAGGUGCCUCUUCACACUUGGGGAGUUGGGGUUGUCAAUCUUCGGUGCUUCCCAUUCGCCAUCCUCCUCCUCACCCACGACAUAGGCAACCUCGGUGGCCUAUAGCUCCACCUCGGCCACUGAGUGGAGGCAGAGGGAAGGACGAACAUGUCAAGGAGCAGCAAGAAAUCAAAAUCAAAGCGGGCCAAAUUGGCGGAGGGAGGCGGGCGGGCACAGAUCUCGCGGCUCGGUGGCUCACCUUGUCUUGUGCGCUGGCCUUGGCCUCGUCGUCCGUCGCCGCCGCCUCGUCGUCCUCGGGGAAGGCAAGCGUGGUGUCCGGGCUGGCGAUGCCCUCGCUACUAUCGUCAUCGGCCGCGGGCUUCUCGUUCAGUGGCGCCGCCGGGGCCUUCCUCGGCCGGCGCCGGCCCCACAAGGGGAUCUCCGCCCGCGCCUCCUGCUGCUGGCAGCGGCAGCGGUUGCUGGCCCGCACGAUGGACAGCAGGUCCACAACAGCUCGCUGAACUCCUCCUCCCGUGCGCAUCCUCUCCCAGCCACCGCGGCCGCCAUGGAUCUCGGCGAGCGAGCGAGGACUUGGGUGGGCUUCUGCGGAUGAUGGGAGAGCAGGGGAGGAGGCGGAGGUUUGGUUGUUUUAACGAAACGUUUUUCAGAUUAGCCACUUUAAAAAAGGAGUGCGGGUUUAAUAUCAGAAACUACGGGGUCUCUUUUGUAAAAAGUGCGCGACGGUGAACCCGGAGACUCAAUCCGUGCUUUAUUAUUAGGGAGAGAUUAAAUAAGGAGGUGGGGGUAAAGAGCCCCUUUAGGUUGGUGUUUACAUGCCAUAUAAACCCAACUCCACUGAUCCACAUAUCAUUGUAAUGCUAUGUUCUCACACUUGCCCAUUCUGAUGUGGCCCCACGAAAGGCACCUACAUCACCCUUAAGUAAACCCGCCCAUUUCCAUGUAUUACCCUCACUCUCAAUUAUGUGCAUUACAUGAUUCCAUGACGGCAUUGCCUCAUCGAGACAAUUGCGUUUGGUGCUUCCAAAGCUCCCACAUAACCAGAAGGGUGAUCACUCUUAUAUCCUUUCUCUCUCGUCCGGUUCCUCCCCUGUCGGUGCACCACCCCCUCAAUCUCGUUCCAUUGGAUGGGGCCCAAUCAGGUUUGUGUAGAGCCAAGCAAACUUUAGUUCAGUGGAGCAAAGAUGUAGUCCAUCAAGAUGUGAUUUGUGGUUUCAUCCUCUUGGUCAUAGAAUCGGCAUGCAUCUUGGUGAUCGAGACCUCUACGUGCAAGGCGAACCAAAUUCCAACACCUAUUUUGAAUUGCUAGCCAUGCAAAAUAUCGACAUUGAAGAGGAGCCUUGGACUUCCAUGUGAAUUCCCGCGUGGGGAUCACUUCUCUUCUCCAAAAUUUUACCUUCUACGCCGAUUUAGAGGAAAACCAUCCAUCCGACUCCCAGGCCCAUGAAAUGGAGUCAUUGCUUGCCGGAUCAAGUUGCACCAUCGUCACUUGAGUCGAGAGGUUGAAGUAUUCGUGCAAUUCUAGCGGUGAGAGCUCCGGGCCAAUGUCCAGUGCCCAUUCUCCUGUAUGUAUCGCAUGCCAAACCAUGCAUGAAGCUCUCAUGUAGUGACCCAGACGCUCAUAUAGGCUAGGCACGAUCUCUUGUACCCGGUACCGGUUGAGCCAUCUAUCUUCCUAGAACAUUGGUGUACGACCAUCGCCAAGCACUAACCUUGUUGCUGAUCGAAAAAGUUACAAAGAUCCAUUCGGUACUUGUAUUUGAAACUCCGCCCAUGGCCUCUUAGGAUCAGCUCUUUGUAACUGGCGCCACCAUGCUUGCAUCAUGAUAUUUAGCCAUCUAAGUUUGGGAUACCUAAACAACCAGCCCAUUUGGGACUACACACCAUCUCCCAAGGCACCGCGCACUGCCCACCAUUGGCUUGUGCCUUUGCACACCACAAGAAGCCACAAUACAUUUUGAUCGUGGCCAUGAUUGUUUUCUAAGGAAUAUCCAAGGGCAACAUGCCAGCAUCACAUGGAUUGGAAUCAGGCAAAGCAUAGACUGCACAAGGAUCAAUCUUCUACCUUUUAGCAUGGAAGUAGCCUUCCACUUUGGUAAGCAUACUCCCAGUUGAUCCACCAUGAGUAAUCAUGAGGCUUCCCCAAACAUCUGCAUAAGUGACUCACAAGCUUGCAAGUCCUGAUCACGUGGCUUUAAGAAUAUCAUGAUGUCAUCCACAAACAUUGCGAGCCACUGAUUCAUACCCCUUGUUGCCAGAGGAUCAAGGACUCCACGAGUUGUUGCAAUCCCCAAAAUUUGGUGUAGUGGCUCCAUGAUCAGAAUAAACAACAUGGGAGAGAGCGGAUCGCCUUGCCUUAUCCCCCUUCCAUUGUAGAUCGGCAUGCCGGGAACUCCUUCACCACAUAUCUAAGCAAUCCAUUGCGUGCAAAAGCCCAUUCUUCUGAUGUCCUCCAACAAGAAUGGCCACCUCACUGAGUCAAAUGCUUUUGAAAUAUCAAGCUUGAGCAUUACCGUAGAUUCCUUGAGAGCGUGUAGGCGUCAUGUCGUGCAUUGUACCAGCAUAAAGUUGUCAUGGAUCGAGCGUCCCUUCACGAAGGCGCUUUGAUGAUUCACCAUAAGUUUUGGUAGAUCCUCUACGAGCCUUGUUGCAAGUAUCUUGUCGAAGAUUUUGACUGAUCCAUGCACUAAGCUAAUUUGCCUGAAGUCCUUUAUGUCCAUCGCCCCAUCCAUCUUGAGAAGCCAAUAAACUACCGCUUUGUCAAUUGUCGGCAAUCCAUGCAUGUCACCAUGAUAGAAAGAUUGGAGAGGCCUCAUUAAGUCGCACUUAAUUAUGUGCCAGCAAGAUGCAGAAAUUUGCUAGUGAAACCAUCCGGCCCCGGCGCCUUAUCCGGUGGCAUGUCCUUCACCACCUUCUUGACCUCAUCCCCUAUAAAUGCUGCUUCUAGGUGCGCCAAGUCCAUCGAAGCAAGCUGAAGCCUGUUGAGAAAGAGUGUGUUUGUGGUGGCACCUCUCCAAAUAAACUUGAGUAGUGAUGAUCAAUCAAUUAAAGUUGUGUGUAAGUAUUUUUUCACUAGUGAUCAUCUCCUCUAGAAAAUCCACUCAACUCGAUCAUAGGCUUUCAUCAUGUAUAGCUUUAUUGCAUGCAAAGUUUGCCUCCUUCUCCACUUCUUGAUUGCACACACGCACUCAUAAGUAACUAACACAUUGUCCAUGAUAAGCCUACCCGAAACGAGGCACUGUGCUCUUAGGGGAUCAGAAUAGGAACACCCUUUUCAUCUGUUUUCAAGAACCCUUGCCGCUUUUUCGUACAAAACAUUACACAGACCAAUGGGCCGGAAAUGAGAGAGAAGGUCCGGGCUUUUGACCUUGGGAAUAAGAACUAGGAAAAUAUCGUUGAAACCUAUUGGAAUUUCCCCGUCGUUCGAAAACUCAUGAGAGCAUCUCCAACAGCUGCCCAAUGUGCGGCACGCUAAAAAUCAAUUUACAGCGCGCCGAUCGCCUACUUUGACGAGGCGAGGAGCACUAGUUCCAGCGGCCGCGAUAAAUUUAGCGCGCGUGUAGCUCCAGCAGGCACGCUAAAAUGCAGCGCGCGCUCUCGCACAAACAACAUAUGCGCUCCAAACACAAGCAAGAAAAUUAAACACAAACAAAAUAAAUCAACAAUAAAUAGUUCAAUUUCAUUAUUACAACUCAAACAAAUAGUUUAUCUUUCAAUACAACAAAUAGUUCAACAAUACAACAUCAAACACACAAAUCAUGAUGCAUUUUGUCGGCCAUUCCAAGCCCACCACUCCUCAAUGAGAUCAUUCUGAAGAUCAUCAUGUGCUUCGGGACAUCGAAUGGCAUGAUGGGAGGCAACAAAACAGGCCACCCUUUCAGCCCUCCGCCACACUCGCACGGGAUGUCCCAAGAGCUCAUAGUGAGAAUAGUCUACAUCUUGGCCACGCUCAUUCUCGAUGAUCAUAUUGUGCAUGAUCACACAAGCGUGCAUGAUGUACCAAAGCAUUUUUGAUCCUAAAAUCUAGCCGGUCCUCUUAGAAUAGCAAAUUGGGCUUGCAAAAUCCCCAAAACUCUCUCCACGUCUUUUCUAGCCGCCGCCUGAGCAUUGUGGAAAUUAAGAUUUUUCUUACCUUCCUUUUUUCAACGGCUUCACAAAUGUUUGCCACUUUAGGUAGAUGCCAUCCGCAAGAUAGUAGUCAUAGUUGUAUGUACGUCCAUUUGCUACAAACUGCACCGGUGGCAGUUCACCAUUUGCAAUCUUAUUCAUCAGUAGUGACUGGUUGACAACAUUGAUUUCAUUCAAAGAUCCAGGCAUUCCAAAAAAAAGCAUGCCAAAUCCAAGUCUCUUGAUCGGCCACCGCUUUAAGGAUUAUAGUGGAACCCUUUUUUGGCCGUGGAAUUGCCCAUGACAUGCCUUAGGACAAUUCUUCCAACUUCAAUGCAUGCAAUCUAUUGAGCCAAGCAUACUUGGGAAGACGUGAGCUUUGUUCAUCUCCAAUAGCCUUGUGGCGUCUUCAGCACUGGGAGAUCUCAAAUACUCCUGGCCAAACACUUGCACAAUUUCGGCUGUGAAGCGCUUGACACACAUGAUGGCUUGGCUCUCACCCAUGGCUAAGUGAUCAUCAACUAGAUCAGCGGGGAUACCGUAUGCCAACAUACGCAAAGCGGUUGUCACCUUCUGAAAGGUGCUAUGCCCGAGCUCUCCGGCGGCAUUCCUCCUUUGCUGAAAAAACCGGUCAUGGCUCGCUAGUUUCUUUGCAAUGCGCUUGAACAACUUGGUGCUCAUCCUAAACCGACGACGAAAGUACGACUCGGGGAUGUGGGAUUCUCCACAAAAUAGUGCCUCAUCAGUCUAUUGUGGGCAUCGAUCCUAUCCCUCCAAAUUUUCUGCCGACCCAUAACCGAACCACCGUGCUUCGGUUUUUUAUUGAUGUGCAUAGCUAGGAUCAUUGCAAGAUCCUCCUCCUCUUUCAUAUCAAAUUCUUCUUCGGAAGAAUCAUAUGACGAACUCAUCUACAAUGUUCAAUUUAAACUAGGCUAUAAAAACUACAAACAACAUGCACCAAAUUCAUGUAAAAAUGUGAAGUUGAAGCAAUACAUACCUUGCGGGCGUUUUGUCGAACACCUUGCGGGCGCCGAGCGGCAGUGGGUGGCCGGGCGCUGUUCGUCGGAGGACUACCGCGCGCGACGAGCGGCGGUGACUAGAGGGAGACGGAGGAAGCCGUGGCGGCGCGGGGAUAGGCCGGGGAAGCGCCAGAACGGUUGCCGGAAGAAAUGGGGUGGCGUGGGCGGCAGCGGCGCCAGCGGCUGGAUGGGGUAGGUGGAGUUGUGAGCGAGCGCUCGAGAGUCCAGCGCGCACGAGCGGGCGCAGCAAAUAAGCGGCGCGCGAUGGUGUUUCGGCGCGCGCGCUGAACUAGAUAUGCCGCGCACGCAGUUUUUACGUCUUCACUGGAGCGCCUGGAGCGGUAGCCCACGCAAAAAGCACUAUUUUUUCAGCGCGGCUGUUGGAGAUGGUCUGAAUUGCAUUACAAACCUCCUUUCGAGCCUAGGAACAUAGUAUACAUGAUUCAGCCAUUGGCACAUUUUUAUGAGACGUGAUCAAGGAUCGAUGACACUUUUGCGACCCAAACCUGCCUGGACCUUCUUUUCCUCUCCUGUGUUUUGCCUGGUAAGUAUGACGUUUCGCAUUUCAGACUAGUCGUUGAGUUUGUCAGCGUUCAGUGAAGGCAAAAUUUCAUGUUUUGACCCUUUUGACAAAGAAUUUCAGGAUCUGACACUGGUUUGAAAUUUUUUCAGGAUUUGACCCUUUUUCCUACCGCCAGGGGCUCUGGCGAUAGGGUUAGACAGCCUACCGCCAAGGCCCAUGGUGGUAGGGUACUUUCCACGUCAGCACGCAGAAACGGCCACCAUCCCCCUCCGUCGCACCCUACCGCCAGGGGAACUAGCGGUAGACUGUCUNNNNNNNNNNNNNNNNNNNNNNNNNNNNNNNNNNNNNNNNNNNNNNNNNNNNNNNNNNNNNNNNNNNNNNNNNNNNNNNNNNNNNNNNNNNNNNNNNNNNNNNNNNNNNNNNNNNNNNNNNNNNNNNNNNNNNNNNNNNNNNNNNNNNNNNNNNNNNNNNNNNNNNNNNNNNNNNNNNNNNNNNNNNNNNNNNNNNNNNNNNNNNNNNNNNNNNNNNNNNNNNNNNNNNNNNNNNNNNNNNNNNNNNNNNNNNNNNNNNNNNNNNNNNNNNNNNNNNNNNNNNNNNNNNNNNNNNNNNNNNNNNNNNNNNNNNNNNNNNNNNNNNNNNNNNNNNNNNNNNNNNNNNNNNNNNNUCUCCCCCAAGUCGCCCCUCUCUCAUCUCCUCCACUCCCCCCUCGGAUCUUCACCGAUUCUUCACCGUUUUUGCGGAUCGAGAUGGCCCCGAAGAGUGAAACGUAAGCUCCUCCAAUCCCUCCAAUUAGUUUUUGCAAACUUGCUUCUGAUUCGACGCAUUAUUUGCUUGAAAUCCCUCAUAUUUUUGAACUUAAAUUGGAAAAAAAAUUCACCUAAGAUUGAUUGUAGUUGUAGUUCUUAGUUCUUUAGUAACCAGUGGUAUUGGAUAUGAACUCUAAUAAAUAGUUCAUAUGUUAGUGUGAAGAUGAACCGUAGUUCAUAAUUUUUUUGUUAAAAAAAUUAUGAUGUAAUGUUGAUAUGAGGAUGAACCCUAGUCUGAUGAUGCAUGUUGAUAUGAUGAUAUGAUCUAGUGUAAAGAUGAACCCUAGUUUGAUGAUGCAUGUUGAUAUGAUGAUAUGAAGAUGUUGUUUGGAAAAUUUUAUUUAAAAAUAUGAUGAUAUGAUGUAUGUUGGAGGAUUUUUUUUUGAUAUGAUGCAUGUCAAUAUGAUUUGAUCCAUCAUGUGUAGUAGUUGUUGUUGGAGGAAUAUGCUUAAAAUUUAUUUUGAUAUGAUGCAUGUUGAUAUGAUUUGAGUUCAUUUUUUGUUUAUGUAUGCUUUAUGCUUAUGGUGGUUUUGUUUAUGAAAUUUUAUUAAGGCGGCCACCUCUUGCGGACAACAUCGGCCCACGGUACUCCAUGCUGGACUGGGCAUUCGACAAGGGUCAUCGUGCUCGGUUCAUAGAGAACGGAGAGGUAAGUGAUAUGAAUGAAAUUUUGAUGAAAGUUUUCGGAUUGAUGAAAAUAAUUUCCUAACUUUUGGCGUUCACUUUUUGAUAGAUGCUCCAGGCACUGCGCAUGAGGGGUCACGGGGUUCAUGGGCAUAUGGACUACGACGAGCGCUACGCGCCGUUCUUCAAGAGAGCCCGUCUGUUGGGUUUUGUGUUGCAGUUCAAGCGUCAGCCACCGAUGCUUGUCCACGCAGCUCUGACGGCGUUGAUUGACCGGUGGCGACCGAAGACCCAUUCUUUCCAUCUGCCAUGCGGGGAGAUGACGGUGACCCUCGAGGAUUGGGCGAUGAUUACUGUCAUGCCGAUCGAGGGUCAUGCACUCACCGGGCGAGUGGAGAGGACCAACUGGCAGCAGAGGGUUGCAGCCCUCAUCGGCGACUGCCCUGCUGUCAAGGGUAACCGUACAUCCGGUGUGCCAUUGACCUGGCUCUCGGAGCACCGGCAGAAAUGCCCCGAAGGCGCCGACGAGACGACUGUGGAGUGGUACGCGAGGGCCUACCUGUGGUAUCUUCUCAUGGAGGUCGUGUUUCUAGACAGCUCCGGGAACUCUGCCAACUGGUCGUAUCUCUUCUUCCUAGCGGACUGGGAGGCAGGGUACAGUUGGGGGACCGCAUCUCUCGCCUACCUAUACCGUUCGGUAAGAGAGGAUCUAAUUCCCUACCUACCUACGAAAGUGUGUCCAUGACAUUUUCUUAUAUCUGAUCCUCAUUUGAUGUUUUGCAGCUUGACGACGCAACGCAGAGGACGGGAGACAAGUCCAAUAUGGGUGGCUUUGUCUGGGCCUUCUCCAUUUGGAUGUGGGAGCGGCUGCCGGUGGGGCGUCCGGAGAAGUUGCCAAGACGCCCAUGGGGUGCCUAUAGCAAAGACGGCGACGAGACUCGACACCCCACCGUAGCUUACGAGUGGGACGUUGUCAAACUCUACACGGGCCUAAACAAGACUUCGUACAAGACCUACACCAAGGAGUUGGACGCUUUGACGCAUACGCAGGUAUAUGAACUCGCUCAACACCUUUCUCUUUGAUUCCACUUUUGACCGAGAGUGGGAACUUACCAAUGAAUAUGUAACAGGUAAACUGGUGGUUGUAUCAUGACCGAGAGUGGGACUUUGAUCUGAACGUGAUGUGCGAUGCGGACCGUGGUCUCUGGCGGUGCAUUGUGCCCAUGAUCUGUUUGUACGCCGUCGAGUGGCACUUGCCACACCGCGUGGCCACGCAGUUUGGGAUUUAUCAGCAUACCCCGCCGGGCCAGCCCACCGAUACCGGCGGCCACGCGCUCCACCUGUGAGCGCUUUGUUCUCCGUGCCCAUGAUUUCAUUACGCUUAUCAUGUUUCUUGUUGCUUAUGAUGAUUCUUGUUGCUUAUGCCUUGCAGGAUGAGCCGGCAGAAGAAUCAGUCAAUCAUAGACUGGGGAGAGGAGCAUAAAACUCAUGUGACGGAGUGGAACCGACGGAGGUACCGUAAAGACGUGGAGAGGAAAGCCACACAGGACCUCAUCGGCUCAUCGAGCCAUGCUCCCUCGUCAUCUAGGUUGGUUGGGGAGGACGAGGAGGAGGCCACACAUGAAGAAGGAGAGGAGGAGGAGAGCAACGGGGAGGAGGAGUACGAUGAAGAGUAUGGACCUCCACCAACUCAAACAUCUCAAGCAUCUCAGCUACCGAAGAGGAAUCCGAAGAAGAAGGAUUUGUUGAGUCCGGACCCUUUCCAGAGACCGGUUCCUCGCCGGCCCAAGAAGAAGACCAGAGAGACUCGUUCAAAGAGUAACGAGGACCGUACCUCCAAGAGGGGAAGGAGCAACUGAUUAUGCUCUUUGAUACUUGGCUCUUUUAGUUUGGUUGAACUUCGUUUGGUUGAACUUGUCUAGUGGUUGUGAAACUACGUGGAACUAUGUGUUUGCUAUUUGUGGAUCUAUGUGUUUGCUACUAUGUGGAACUCCGUUGAAGUUCGUUUGAAAUGUUAUAUGCACAAGUUAUCUAAUGUGGAUCUAUGUGAUGCCCAAGUUUAAUUGUUUAAAAUCUGUGGUAUUGUUGUCAUAUUUGUAAAACUUGUUGUCAUAUUGAAUUCGAAAACAAGCAACCAAAUGAACUAGAAACAACAAAACAGAGGACCCUACGGCCAAGGCCCCUGACGGUAGGGUCAGACACCCUACCGCCAGCCCCCAUGACGGUAGGGCUCACCUACCGCUAGGGCCCUUGCAUUUUUCGUUACAGAAGCUUUACACUGGAAAAACAUAGGACCGACCUGGCGGUAGGGUCACACAGCCUACCGCCUGCCCCCAUGGCGAUAGGGUGAACCUACCGCCAGGUCCAUUGUACAUUUCGUUACAGAAGGUUGCGGCAAAACCCUGCCACACCCUACCGCCAGGGGAUCUGGCGGUAGGGUUAGACAGGCUACCGCCAGGCCCCCUGGCGGUAGGUACUUAUCCACGUCAGCGCAGUGAAACGGCCGUCGUCCCCCUCCGUCGGCACCCUACCGCCAGGUGCUUUGGCGGUAGGUUGUCUAAUUCUACCGCCAGAGCCCCUGGCAGUAGCAAAAGGGUCAAAUCCCGAAUUUUUUUGAAACCAGGGUCAGAUCCUAAGGCCUCCUUUGGUUUGGAGGAAUUUUAUAGGAAUUCUAGAGGAUAGGAUUCUUAUAAGAUUUUUCCCUUUAGAGCCCUUUGGUUCAUAGGAAUGGAUUUCUAUUCCUACAUAGGAUUGGUUCCUAUCCUCCAUAUUUCAUAGGAAAAUAAAAAUGAGUCUAGACUCAAUGGAAAAAUUCCUUUGGUGUCAACCAAAUGACAUCUCGUUUCUCAUUCCUACUCAUAGGAUUUGAGAUACACGUCAUCUCAUUUCCUACAAAAUUCCUAUUCCUACUAUAAUCCUAUCAUUUGACCAAAAAAGGCUUAAAUUUUUUUGUCAAAAGGGUCAAAACAUGAAAUUUUGCCUUUAGUGAACCUUGUUAACCUCACUCUCACGUAGGUGUGCCCUACACCCUCAUUCCUCCGUUAUCCGUUCCUCUCGCGUGCUGACACCUGGCAAGCACACCUCAAAACACAGAAACCGUCCUAUACUACUAUUCCCGACCUUGCUGGCACCGACCAUCCGUGGACGGUGGGUUCUCUGUCCCACACACCCCCACCCAUCCCAUCGCAUCCGAUCAUCUCCACCACAAUCCCUGAAUCUGCAACCGAUUACUACCACAUCCCUGAAUUUAGCAAGCAAUUGAUACUUGGCAAAAUAGGACAGGGCAGAUAAGCACACCACUUAUGGCCUCUCCAGAAUCCAGCCAAUGCCAUCAGCGCACAAGAAAGUGCCCUCUCCAAAACAAGCAACCAGUAGUAACGCCACGCCCAUGGCCAGCUCUCCUUUCCUUCCUCGGCGCUGCCUGCUUCUUCCUUCUUCAGUACAUUCCAUAUGUGGAGCAGUGGAGGACCGGCUGACAACCUCACACCGACUGGACCGACUCGUUCGUCGAGAGUCGCCUCGCUGCCACGUUACCCUUCCUCUGCUGACAGACAGCAUGAACGAACGAAGGUGGUUGAAGGGAAAAGGCACGUCGUCAGGACAGAUUUCAUUAUUUCUCGGUUGCGUCGAGGCGAUGCCAAGUGCACGUACCGGAUCACGCCCUGGCCCAUCGUCGAACCGGGAGCCCGGGAUUAUUAUUCCGCGUCGGUUUGCGGUCCCUGGCUGGCUCCUCCCUCCUUCCUUUUUAAACCCCCCUCCGCUCUCUCACUCGACAGUGUCUGUAGCAUCGAUCUCUCUCAACCUAAUCCUUAACUGCCCUCCCAACACAAAACUCCCCUUGCUCCCCUGUCCGUCUGACACCCCCUUCUUCCCCCCCUGCCUCCGUCCACGGUUUCGUCCUCGGUUUCCUCCGUCGAUUCAUUCCCUCCUGCGGUUCCUGAAGGCCAAGUUGACAACUGCUGCUGCUGCUUCGGGUACAGAAGAGAGGCGUCGAUCCUGGUUCACCUGCGAGUGGAUUCUUCGUUGGAUUCUGCCUUGGUCGCCGUGGAUCGGCCAUGUUCGUCAAGAAGCUCGUGGAGAAGGCCUCCAAGAAGGUAUAUAACCUCUCUCUCUCUCGCUCGCUCGCUCGAUCCCAUCCAGUCCAAUGCUCUCUGCUGCCAUUUUACCAGUACUCCGAUCUAUCAGCUUCCUUGUUCUCGGUCGAUUCUGUGUGGAUUACGACAACUUUGCUACAGCAUGUACGUAGUAGAUUCGAUUCGAGGGUGAGUAGUAAUCCUAGAAUGGUCUCUUUUCUUUUCCUGACUGGGGAGUAGUUGUUGAUGCCACUCAUCCCCUUCUCCACCGACCGAAUUCGGACGUAAUCCUUGGAAAAAUGUCACUUUCUGCUCAUUUCCUUAUUUUCGCCGUGCGAACAAGAAAAGAAAAGAAUGUUGCCUCGUUGACGCCGUCCCCCAAUGUCGCCCUGCCUCGUCAGAGACGGAGUGUCGCGCUCGCGUCCUUGUUUCGAUCCGAGCUCCGUUCGAAUUUGAAACACCCACAGAUGGCCAUGGACUCAUGUACGAUUCACAAAUUUAAGGCGGCUCUGCAAGUCCAUGUGACCUCAUUAAUAUCGUCCAAGCAAAGGAUGCAUUGUUUAGUCGCUGCGGAAAUGAUCCUACCCAGUGCCGUGGCACCAACACUGAGGCGACCGAUCGAGAUGGAUAAGAAAUUUUGGUAGAUUGACCAGGUUCGAUGCAUAGAUUGGAUGGAUUACAAUACUGUGGGGUUGAUAUAAAAUAGCCUAGUAGGCCGGUCCUUGGAGAUCAACGAGACAACGAGGUUCGCUUGCUUCGGUUCAGCGUAGGCUUGCCGGCUUUGGCCUGCAGUCACCGACGACUGUUUUACAGGGGGCGUUGUUCAGUCGCGGCUGUCGAUUUCAGUAUCCGGCUUUGGCUUGUAUAAUAAGCGCAAGUGUUUCAUAUCAUGCCGUUUCCAAAAUUAUUUUCCAUCAUAUGCCUCGACUCUCUGCAAAAUUACUCGCUCUUGCAGUGAGAGACCUAGGACAAGUAAGCAUGUAGGGCAACUCUUGCUAAAGACAGGGGCCUGAUGUGGUGAUGCGUGAUUUUCCUUUUUUUAAGGGAAAAAAGGUAGUAUUAUAACUUCAUAGUAGGGCAACUGACAGCAACACACUUGAGACUAGGGCAGGCACUGACAGCAACACACUUGAGAUUUGUGAUCAUUCACUCUCGAAAAAGAUUUAUGAUGAUUUAAAAAAACUGGGAAUUGUGAAAUGCUUUAGAUUAAGUUAGGACAUGAAUCUUAUUUUGAAAUUGCACUAGCCUGCCGCGUGUACCAGUCCGUUGGCAUCAUGAUUUCUCGGGGCUAAUUAGAUCACGCCACCUGGUCGUUUAUUAGAUACUGCUACUACUGCGUGCUCAUUUCGAUGUGACCGGCCAUGUGCUUGGCCGGCUGAGCUCAUGGGCCGGGAGAUCAGGACAUACUGACACGUACAUGGCCUUACAUAAGUACAGUAAGGAACCAGGAUCUAUCUCGUCCUUUUCCUUCAUUUAUUAUUUUUGUCAGAGACAAACAUUUCUAGUUUGAAAGUGAUAUUUUAGGUGGAGUGAAUUUAAAUUACUUCAUCAGUUACGAAGAACAAAAAAAGAGAGAGCUCCCGGCGAGGAUCGAACUCGCGGCCUUUCGCUUACGAAGCGAACGCAAUACCACUAUGCUACGGAAGCAGCUGCGUUCCAUUUCCCGUAUGCCUCUAAUCCUUCUUAACUUCUUCGCAGCAGCACAGCGGCGGCAUCGGCGGGCUGCGCGCCGAGGACGUGAGCCCGCGGCUGGCCUUCCACUACGGCGUCCCCGCCGACGCCGCCCUCCUCGCCUACGACCCCCUCCUCCACGUCCUCGCCGUCGCCACCAGGUAACCCGCCGACAGCUCCCAACAAACCCCACCCGCUUGCUUGCUGCUUCCCUUCCGUUCCGAGUUCCGGCGGACACGCCGCCCACCGACCUCUCCCCGCCGUCGCUGACGCCCUCUGCUCCGCCGCGCGCCUGCAGGAAUGGGCAGAUCAAGCUGCUCGGCCGCGACAACACGCAGGCGCUGCUCCAGUCCCCCUCCCCCAUCCGCUCCAAGUUCCUGCAGGUACCACUCACCACCUGCUUCCAAUCCCAUUGCUAUUCCGUGUCCAGUGCCGCAUUGCUGAACUUGGAUCGAUGUGCCUGAAUCCGACGCUCACUUUCAGUUCGCCGAUGGCCAAGGGGUUCUCCUGAGCGUCAACACUCAGAACCAGAUCGAGGCACGUCUACUCCCACACAUUCAUUCUCUUGGUCCAUUCACUAAAUGUGGUCCUAUUUUUCCAUGCGUUGUUGACCCAAAAGAGCGUCGUUUGCAGGUCUGGGACAUCGACACCAAGAGGCUGUGUUAUCUGCAUCCCUUUGAGAAGCAAAUAACCGCGUUCACAGUGCUGCAGAAGAGUUUCUACAUGUAAGUGAUGGUUACUGAAUGCACUGGUACUGCGGCAUGGAUCUUGAUGGGUCAAGUGUGCUAACGAGAAUUCUGGGCUGCGCAGAUAUGCAGGAGAUAGUUUUGGAAAUGUGUCCUUGUUCAAGCUUGACUUGGGUCAAAGGUGUCUAGUUGACCUGCCGUAUUGCAUUCCUUUUGCUGAAUCUUAUGGUAUGUCGUCUCUCUGUUUUUUUUCCCUCGGACACGCAUAAAAAUGCCUGUCAGUUUUGUAUUAGUGAGAAAUCACCCAGAUGCAGGCCUGCCCAGAUGCCAGAUGGCACAAAUACAAAAAAAAGGCCAAAGCAGAACGAAAAUUAUCGAAAAAGGAACCAGAAGCCUGUUAAACCAAACAAUCUGCAAACUAGAAAAUAUAUGCCGUCUCUGGAAUAUCAGUAUAUAUCUCUAUGUUGCAUACUCAGCUUUCUUUUAAGGCUAACUGCAUACUGAACUUUGUUUAUUCUUCUACACUUUCUUUUAUUUUGUUUGCAAUGAUAUGUUAAAUAUCAUUCCCAUCCAGAUAUUUGUUAAACUUUCAGAGAGAAAUUUCACAACAACAAUAUUAAUGCAAAUCGUCUCAAUAAGCCAAUGUAAUUGGCAACUGAAAUUCACAUUCAGUUUGAUUUGUUAUUGAAGGUUCCACGGGAAAUGGCGGUAACGGGGUAGAAAUUGUAUUUGUAUCGCCACAGCCUUUGGCUGAAUCUAACAGGUUGGUCUCAAUCUCAUUACCGCAGUUUGGCACGAAUUAUUGCAGCUUUUCAGCCAUGUCAUAUUCAGAUUGAUCUUCCAUAAUUCGUUAAUUCAUGCCCCUCUGUAGGCAUAGUGAAAUGUCUGAUUAAGGUGCACUCUUCCUCUCAGGUUGCUCAUUAUAUUCAGAGAUGGUGUCAUGACUUUAUGGGAUAUUAAGGCAAGCAAAGUGGUAUUCGUAUCCGGUAGAACUACGCAACAACAAUCGCACCAGGAGGAGAAAAAUGUGACAUCGUCAUGCUGGGCUUGUUCCAAGGGAAGCAAAGUUGCUAUUGGAUAUGACAGUGGUGAUAUCUACCUUUGGGCUAUUCCUGAUAUUUUCAGUGCAGAAAAUUCCUCAUCUUCGAGUAAUCAGAAUCUACCACUUCAGAGGCUUAACCUUGGAUACAAGCUAGACAAGGUGCCAAUAAUCUCUUUGAGAUGGGUUCCUACUGAUGGGAAGUCUGGACGUUUGUAUAUUAAUGGAUUCAGCGAACAUGCAUACCUAUACCAGGUAGAAACACUGAAAUAUUUUCACAGCGGUUUUUAUAAUGUUCCUGAUUUUCUGCCAUACUUUUCAAGUGCAUGCUUUCCAUAUGGAUAUUGUUAUCCCAAAUGACAUUUUAGUUAUUAGAACUCACAUCAUAUCUUAGCAAACUUUAGCUAAUUGCAAAUAAUUGGAGCCGUAAAUUUCAUCAUAUCUGUCUGCCAGGACUAUCACUAAAUAACUAUCAGGUUGUCAGAUACCGGUUUUCUCUGGCCUCUGGCCCUUUUGAAUACGAAAUUCAGGUUGUAUGAUUUUGCUUCUCAGUAUUACAUUUUCUAGGGUUUUAAGAAGCGUAUCGAUUGGUAACAGGCCGAUUUAGACUGGAUGAUCUACUGGUUUUGGGACUGACUUGAACAAAUAAAAAAUUAUGGGUACUCAAAGUAAAUGCUCACCCAAAGGGCAACGGAUUGGGUGUCAUUUUUCCAGCAACCAGACAAAAGAUCCAUGUCCAAAGCAUUAUUUGAACUUGGAACGGUUGAUUUCUUUCUGAAGAAUAUAGUGCUGGUUCACGUGGAUAAGAUGUCUUGGUAUUUUUGUUUAGUGAGAAAUGCAUCUUCGUUCAAUCUUUCAUUUGUGUUUUCUGGACACAGGUCCUGAUUCUGAAUGAAGAGAGUGAAUCUCGAAUAGUAAAGAUGGUAUUGCCCCUCACAGAAGCUUGUCAAGGAAUGGAGUUUGUUACAGGCCUUAGCGACCCAAAUAAGCAAAGACAGACUGUUCUUGUUCUCUUGUUGAAAUCUGGUCAAAUCUGUUUAUACGAUGAUUCAGAAAUUGAGCGCUACCUUCUUCAAUCUCAGUCUAGAUCACCACCAACACUUCCAAGCCACUCAUUUGUGAAACAACCGUAUGGUGAUUCGGGCAUCAAUGUUGCAAAGUUCUACACAAGUGACCGUACAGCAACAGCUAAUGAGGCAUGUAUAGAUUUGUAAAUUAUACCUGCAAACAACUGUGAACUCUUUGACCAGACAGCUUCAUCUUUUUAAUGGACAGGAUUAUUUUUCAACAUUGGCCUCCAAAUAUCCAUGGCUGCUUUCAAUGAAGGAUAAAGGUCAGAUAUCUGCAAGUCUUAGCAACAUCCAUAAAACCAGGAAUCUUUGUAUAACUGGACAUAUGGAUGGAACCAUAAGCUUUUGGGAUGCAUCAUGUCCUCUUCUGCUGCAGAUUUUUAUGAUAAAGCAGCAGGUAGCAUCAAAUCCCAACUUUUUUGCCAAGUGUUAUACAAUUAUGAAUUCUUAUACGAACUGCCGUGUUCAACUUCAUUCUAAUAACCAUCUAAUAACUUCACAGCAUGAAGACAAUACAUCAAGUCGAGCCCGUAUUACUUCAUUGCAGUUUGAUAUGUCCUCCAGCAUUCUUAUAUCUGGGGAUCAGGGUGGAACAGUAAGCUAUUCCACGGCUACCAGGAGGUUUCUAGUUUAUGUGUUAAAUACACUUCCAGUGCAUUGACAUUUAUUUCUUCUUUCCAGGUCCGCGUAAUCACAUUCAAAAAGGACUCUAGCGACAAUAUAUUAUCCAUUUUACAAGGUACUAACUUGCUCAGGGGUUGUGCUUCCAUCUACCUAUAUAGUAACUUGGUUGUUGAUUCUAUGAAAGGGUUUGCACUAGAAUAAUUUCAAUAAUAUUACUGCAAACUUUGCAAUUUACCAGUUAAAUUUUAGCACAUUCAGUGAUUUUUUGGCGCAUUAAACUAAUGGAUGGUUAGUAUACAUUCAUUAUCACGUUUGGAUUACCCGAGUAUAAGAUCACCUCCUUUCAGUAAAUAAGCAUGAGUUUGCGGCUUGUCUGGCCGAGUUCUAAACUAUCAUAAUAAGGUUGUUUAUAGGGUUUCCAUGGGCGAACUGUGAACUUUCAAUUAAAAGUAAGAGAUGAUGCGGAGUUUGCUGCAUUAAUUUUAAAAGAAAGGACAGGCGUAUAAUGUGGAGUUUCUCAAGAGUUAUAUAUGUUUGGUUGAUUUUGGUGUCCACAAGUAGAAACAAUUUAUAUAUUUUAUAUAUGAGGUAUAAGCUUAAUAAAUGGCUGUCAGCAGUUCAGUACUGCCUGAUCUUAUCAUCUGGUAGAUGUAUCUUUUUAAUAAUGUUUUUAUAUCUAAGUCUAUGGAAUUUCUCUAUGUUAGUUAACCAGAAUUUUUGUGACUCAUUAGGAAAGCAAGGGGAUAACUACGAUGCAAGAAGUAUAAAGCUCAAGGGAGCUGUAACCUCAACCUCUAUGAUCUCUAAUUCGAAGCAUUUUGCUGUUGGGACAGAAAAAGGAAUUGUAAGAAAUUUGUCCAUUGUGCAAAAUGUUCUCAAUUUUCUGAACUAUUAGGCUCAAAGCACCGUUAAUCAACACAAUAAAAGCAUAGUAUCACAGUUUCAAAAUAGUAGCACUAAAAUUUAACCACUGUCUACAAUAGUCAAAUUGCAGACUCAAAGCUACUAAAUAUCAUGUUUGAUAUGCGAUCUCACAGAAAUUUUUAAAGUUAAAUGGUUAAUAUUACUCGCAGUUCAACAAGUUUUAGUAUCUUGUUAAGCAAAAUAGUGGUUACUUCUUCGAAGACUUUGCAGUUUGCCAUUCUUGAUAUGAAGUGACUCAUGUCAUGUAUGUUAUUUAUUGUGUUGAUGACUAUUUUAAAGAGAUAGAGGAACUGUCACACAAUCAUUUAUCUCAUGAAAGCAGUUCGUUAAAUAUGGUUAUUCAACUCAAAAUUUGAGCUCAUUAUUCAACCAAGAAAGUGACAUGUCUGGAAAAACAUGUUUCAGGUAUCAGUUAUCAAAGUAGAUGAUGCUACUAUAUUGUAUCAAAAACAGCUUGAGUGUCGUGUCUCUGGUGGAAUUGCCUCCUUGCAAUUUGAACUCUACAGCCACAAUGGGUACGAUAAGGAUCUUCUGAUAGUAGGAAUGGAAGAUUCUUCUAUUUGUAUUCUCGAGGAAGAAACUGGAAAACUUUUGAAUGCCAACCCGGUUCAGACAAACAGACCCACAAGAGCCCUUCUGUUGCAGACAUUGGGUGAGCUAUAUGAUCUUGCAUAAUAAUCCUUAUUUUGUAUAUCUACCCACCAACCCCACAAGGUACUAUUACCGCGCUAUUAUGCCAUUCUAAAGCCACAUAAUGCCAUCAUCCAGAGUUAUCUCCAAACGAAGCACCAGGAUCUGAUAACCAUGAUACAGCAUUGAAGGAAUCUUUGCUGUUGCUUUGCACAGAAGAUGCAAUCCGCUUAUUUUCCUUGAGCCAUGCGAUUCAGGUAUUUGUAUUUCCAGUUAUCUCAGAAGUUUCUGUUUUUAUGUGAGUGUUGUUGUUCAUAUGGAGCUUUCCUUUGUGCAGGGAAUGAAGAAGAUAACUAAUAAGAAAAAGUUAAAUGGUAGCUGUUGUUUUGCAUCUGUUAUCCAUGGUGCUUCUUCUGAAAUUGGAAUUGUACUAGUCUUCUCCAACGGAAAAGUAGAAACAAGGUGAGAAUACAGCUGAGUUGAAAACUUUGCACGAGGGGUCGAGGGCAUUCAAAUGAAGUCGAUGAAUUCUAGUGUAUUUAUGAAACUGCAGGUCCCUCCCAGAUUUAUCCUUGUUGAAAGAAGCCUCUUUACGAGGUUUUGUACAUUCAAAAAACUUGAAUUCCUCUAGUUCCAUAACAUGUUCAUCUGAUGGAGAAAUCAUCUUGGUAUGGAUUGCACUAUCACUUUACUUUUUGAGACAUCUUCUGUAGUAACUUCAGUAUAGCUCUAUUCAUGAUUUUAAAAGUAGCUUUUACUUAUAAAUAGUUUCUUUGAUUAUACAGAUUAAGGGAGAGGAGACAUAUUUUUUCUCUACUCUCUGUCAAGAUGACAUCUACAGGUAUGGUAGCAUGGUUAGUUUAUAACUUUGGUAAUGAUGAAUAGUUGACCUUGUUUACCAAUAAUGGAGCUUUGCAAUUUAGUGCACUACCAGAGACCCCUUGAGCCAUUCUAGAGCUCCUAUUAUGAUCGUCAAAUAGCGGGCACAAUGAUUUCAUUAUUUAUUUCGAGCUGAACUUACAAUUUUUAACAUAGUUAUCUAAGCGUGCGGUUUGUACGCAGGCAUGUAGACAGUAUUAAUAUGGUAUACAGAAAAGACCGCCCUCUCAGGGAAGAAUCUUCCUGUGUGGUUAAGUCUCCCAAAGAAAAGAAAAAGGUAACUGAUUAAUCUUAUGGUCAGUUGAGGCAUCUGUGUAUCUUUCUUUCUGAUAAUGGAAAUUCUCCAGGGCUUAUUUGGGAUGAUUAUGAAAGACACUAAAGGGAGCAAGGCAAACGAGAGUUAUGCAAAUGGCAAUGGACAAUUCAUCGCAACAACAUCUGAAGAACUGGCCUCAAUAUUUUCAUCAGCGAACUUCACUCCACCAUCUGCGAGGAGGAGCAGUUCACUGGAAGAUGAUGAAAAUAUUGAGCUAGACAUAGGUAUACGAUGUUCAGUUGUUCACAGUUCUAAAAGGCCCUAGGUGCCUUCCUCCCGCCUAGCCCAACUAGGCGCUAGCCCCACUACCACAUCGUCUGCCUGGCACCUAUCACUUUUUAGAACACCUUAUUACAGUAAUUUUUAGAAGAAUCAUUACUUUUUCUGGGUAUACUUACUCUAAUAUGUUUCUUUCUGAAGAUGAUAUCGACAUUGAAGACAACACACAAAAGCAGAAAGGACCGCACUUCGCAGGUCUAAGCAAACAGAAAUUCAGCAAGGGACUCCAGGCUCUUAGAGGUCAGAAAAGUAUUAUACUAAGAUGUUUGUAAUUAACUUUGCAAUCCAAGGUGCGGCGUUUCAAAAUUAGCGCUCUAGUUCAACUAUUUUAGUGUGAUAUGUUGUUCAAAUGUUUAAUAUGCAGGAAAACUGAAGCCCAGAACAGAAGAAAAGGUGAAUACAGAAAAUAAGAAGCCUGAAGAUGAACCAUCAGUUAGACAAGUUGACCAGAUAAAGAUGAAGUAUGGAUAUGCAACAAGUGAUGUGAGUGCAUAGAAGCGCCAGUAUAUCAUUGAAAUUAUGACCUGCACAUUUAUGUCCAUAGACAGGCUGAUCUACUCCGAUUGAUGACCAUCUACAUGGAAUCGUAUUAGCAAUGCGUAGAAUAGUGCACAACAUAAUAGGUUAUUUCCCCUCAAGGGAAGAAAUGUGACUAGUUGAUGCAUUCACUUACCUUUCCUUCAUUGUUGAUCUGAACAGGACUCAACCAGUGUUCCAAAAAUGAUUGGAAACAAGCUGCAAGAGAACAUCAAAAAAUUGGAGGUAAGCAGCAUUUUGCUUCCCUACUGAUAGUAUUAUGCCUAUUCCUAUUACCAUGUUGCUUUGUACGGGACCUACCGUGUAAUUCAGUUUCCCCGAACAAAGAAGUUCUCUCGUUCCCAAUUUCCCUAUGUUCUGCAAAACUUUCCAAUUUCCAUAUGAAUGUCACGGAAGACACCUAUAAAGAACAUCCUGCAUAAACCUGAAAGGGCAUUAACAUGUACAAAUGUGCUUCCUGCAGGGCAUUAAUCUUCGGUCCGCAGACAUGGCUCAUGGUGCUCAAUCCUUCUCGUCAAUGGCGAAAGAGCUGCUCCGAACCACGAAAAACGAGAAGAGCUCAUCAUAGCAAUGACAGCUAUAUCCAGUUCCUUUUCCUCUAGUUGUAAAGCUCCCUUUCUUUAUGUUUGUUCGAGAUGGCCAACUGCACCAUGGGGUCAGCUGUAGAUAGUCUUCUUCACUUCUCUUUGCACUCGCUAAGGUUCUUGACAGGUUACCGCCAUGUUCAAGUUCACCUCACGUGUGUGGAACAUUAUGUAGCCCCGCCUUAAAAUGAUUUUGUUGUAGAUAGCAUACAGAGGGUACCUUACACUAUCAAUUGUUUCAUUGCACAAAUUUACAUACAUGGGCAAACUUAAUAUGUUUGAAUCUGAUGAAGUUACCACGCUUCAUGUUUAGAAGCUGCACUAUAGUCACACAACCACCAGCGGCAAGCCGGCAACUAGCAUCGAUUUUUACAUCCUGUCAAAGUAAAAAAUAAUUAGACUUCUGAUGUCCUGGCUGCCAAAUGUGAGAACAGACAGCCAUUGGUCAACCACGGAGGAGAAAGCAAUUGGGCACAAUCUUAACAAAAAAUUGCUGCACAAAACUCAAGAGCAAGUUCAGCAAAAGGACCAUCAGAAGCAAUAAGAAAGUGAAAGGAGAACACAAGACAUAACGCGAUUAAUAGCAAGCCAACAUAAUGACUGUUUCCACAUGCUGUGGAAGUCCAAGAAAGAAAAGCAGUCAAGGGUUUUAAGCUUUUCUUCGCUAAUAGUCAAACAGAGACAUCUCUAGCAUGCCACAGCCCAGGAGUACGCAUCUAAACAUUCUCCUUACAUAACAUUACAUAAUGAGGACAUCGACAUGGCAAGCUAAACCCUAAGCAGCAAACGCUGAUUUGCACCACUGCUGUUCCCUCAUCUACUAUUUACUCCUCGUCCUCCUGUGAUAAGACAGCCAAACAUAUGUUAGCAACAAGUAAAUUCCAUCAGCACUGCAA
rnacentral:lncRNA from 1 species